GGAUCUCAAAUUAUUCUCAGCUAUUACUUCAUCAUCAAAUACCUCAAAUUUCAACUCCCCCUCCAUUUCUUCCUGCUUCAUCUCACAAAUAUUAUGCAAAACGCAACAAGCUCCAAGCACCGCCGGUAAUUCUUGAAGUUUAAUUUCCAUUCUCUUCUGCAAAAUCGCCCAUCUCCCUUUCAAUCUUCCAAAGGCUUCUUUUCCCAGUUUUUCAAUCUCAUAAAUCUUUUCAUUGAAAGCGUGUUGAGCCCAAGUUAGAUUUUGAUGUGUGUAAGGAACUAAAACCCAAUCCAUUAAUGGGUACAUUUUGCCACCUACUACCCAAAAAUCUUUCAAUUGUCCCAUCGUGGCUCUUUGAUGAAACGCUGAAUUGGAAAGGACUUGUUCAUCGGACAUUGAACCUGGCCAACCGAUGCAAACGUCGGUGAAAACGCCGGUUGAAUCGAUGAUGCCUUGGAGAGUGAUUGAAUACGAUGUUUUUUGGUAUCUUUCGGUGUGUUUCUUGUUGAAAUAGGCGGCGACGUUGGUCUUCGGAGCGCUGAUCGGAAUAUGGGUUGUGUACAUUGAACCGCAUACGUUUGGGAUUCCGGCGAUGGACUCGAAUUCGUGUUUGAGUUGUUUUAUUUUGUUUUCAUCGGGCCAUUGAAUGUAUUUCGGCAUUAGAACCGUUUUAAUGGCGGUACAAACCUCUAAAACCAGCUUAUGGCAGGUUGAGAUCCCUAACCCGAACUGUUUCGACACCGUUCGAAGCGGUUCACCGGUGGCCAACCGCCAAAUACAAACCGCAACGCGUUGACGAACCGGGAUAGCGUCACGGAGCAUGGUGUUUUUUUUCAUCACCGCAGGUUCAAGCUCCUCGCAAAUCAUAUCGAACGUGUGUUUACUCAUUCGGAACUCACGUUUGAAUUCCUCAUCGGGAAAAUCCGGAUGAUUACACUUCUCCCACCAAUCUUUAGAUCGUGAUUUCACCCAUAACCUCCGUUGAUGUUCCGAACCACCGCCGGUGUUAUCGGAACUAGCUGAAACCGUCGAAGAAGUACCGGCGAUCGAACCAGAUUUACGAGCUCGCUUCUUUCUGGAAUUACCCAACUCUUCUUCCAUUUCAAAACCAUUAAUUUCUUCAAUCUUUGCUUCAGCUUCAAAGAAAGUUUCAAAGCCAGUCAGCCAUUGAUGCUGUUCUUGCUCUUGCUUUGCUCCCUCGUCUAAUAACAAACUCAAUAAGUCUUUAAACCCAUUGUUUUCUUCAUUGACCAAAGAGUCAUCACUAACUCUUCUACUCAUUUUUUUGCUGUUCCCAUUGAACCCAUUUUCCAUUUCCUCAAAGAAAUCGAAGCUGCUAUUAUUAUAAGAGAAUUCUUGUUGAGAAAGGAAUGUGAAAGAACCCAUUUCCAUUCAAACAAAAAUAUUAUAAUAAAUGGCUUGAUUGACGAAAUGUGAAAGCAAAGAUGAGUUGAAAAUAUAUAAAUAUGAAGGUGGGAACGGUGGGAGUUUCCGUUGUUGUUUAUAUACGUAUAGAUGGUUUUACGCGGUUAGGGAUAAGGGUGGCGCUAAGGAAGCGCGUGGGGAACGAUGGUGUGAAACGCGGGAGGGUGGAACAUUGAUUGUGACUUUGACUUUUCUUCUUUACGUGGAUUUCCCUUUUUUGUUAACGGUUUUCAGCUACAGUUAUUUGAGAUUAAACUCGAGUUUCAUAUAUAUUAUUUUCAAUAAAAGAAUAUGUAUUCUCAUCUUAUUUAUAGAUUGAAAAAGAAUUAUAUAUUAAAAAUAUUAGAUAUAAUAAAAUAAUUACUUGUAAAAUGACAAACUUUGAGUUUACUUCUUUCUUUCUUUUUUAAUUCCUUCCUCCUCCCUUUUAGUAUUUAUUUUAUUUUUUUAAUUGAAUAAUUUAGUAUUUGUUUUAUUUUUUAAUUGAAUAAUUUAGAUUUAUUAUCACUAAAUUAUUAGUAUGUAUAUAUUUUGGUCACUUAAUUUUAAAAUACUAUAAAAAUAGUCACUGAAUUAUUUAAAAAAUUUUAUUUAAGUCAUUGAAAUGCUAAGUUUUUUUUAAAAGUCUGGCUAGCGAGUUUUAAGCAACAUUCGAUAAUUAGUACGAUGACUCAGUCCCCUUCAACGAGUAGAAAAACAUAUCUUAAAUCCAAAUUUAUCUAAUGGUCAAUGUCAAAUAUUAAAAAAUAAAGUUGUUUAAAUUUUGGUUUUUAAAUUUCUAACGUUCAAAUAUGUUUUAUAAAAGAAAAAAAUUAAAAUUGUAUGAAAGAAAGAGAAUGAGAGCUUUUAAUUGUUACAAAUAAUGCAAACAGAAAAAGCUAUACAACAACGUUUUUAACAACUCAGUAACUUAAAUGAAAAUUUUCGAAUAAUUUAAUAAUCAUUUUAUUACUUUUUAAAGUUGAGUAACCAAAAUAUAAAUCAGUACAAUUUAUUUUUUUAUUAUUAUUUUGCAAUAAGUUAAAUAUUUGCAACUUUUGUGAAAUUUAUCAAAAUUUAAUAUUAUUAUUCCAAAUUACAAUUGAUAAAUAUAUUCAUCCAACAUUCAAAUUCGUUACAUAAUUGUAAAUUCUAAAAAUUAUUAAAAUAAAAUGGAUAAUAAAUUCAGAUAUAAUUAAUAAAAAGUAAAACAGAUUUAAAUAAUAGACAUAUAAAAUAGAAAGCAAAUUCAAAUAGUAAUUAUAUGAGAGUUUAUAUUUGCAUUCUUUCCAAAUAUGUUGCACAUAAUAAUUCUAAUAUUAUUUGAAUCUUUCAUAUCCAAAUUUAAGAAAAUAAAAUUAACUAUUAAUAAAUAUUCGAAAUUGAUCUAUCAGUUACCAUCCUUAAAUCAAGGUCUACGUGAAAGGUUAAAGUUAUAUAUAAUAGAAUUAAAAUUUCGGCAUAUGACAUUUUCAUAACAUGAUUAAAAGUGUUAUGAAAGUCUGUAUGUUUAAAGUCCGAUCACAUUUAUCUUCUCCAUUACAAAAAUAACAAAUUGGUCUUUCAGUUGAAAGUUUUAAUCCAUUUCUAUUGUUAAAAAUUGAUCCCUAUAGCUAUAUGUCAGUAAAAGGUACACGUUACACGUUACACGUCACUAUCUAGUUAUUCCGUCAACCAUGACAAUUUUUAACAGUACAAACGGAUGAAAUUUUUAAUAGAAAAGACCAAUUUGCUCUUUAAUCUAAUGUAUAAAUAUUAAUUUAUUAUUUUUUUAAUAGAAGGGACAAAAUGCAAAUCUCCAUAAUACUUUUAACUUAUAACAUCAUGUUGUGACUCUCGCUAUAGUAUCUAAUCUUAUUACCACCGCUAUUUUUCCACUAAUUACAACAAGAAAACGCACCACCCAUCUAAACCAACCCUAAGUCUAGUUUGUAUCAAGUGAGUCAAUAGCCUAUUUUAACAUUUAAAAUAUUUUUAUACUUCUAUAAUUAAAAUUAAACGAAAUAAUUAAAAAUAUUUUUCAACUAUUAUAGUUAUUUUUUAUGCAUGCUAUUCAUUCACUUGAAAUAAAUGAAAUAAGGUUUAAUGUGUUUUAAAUUGAACCAAUUAAGUCAUCAAUUCAAUCGGUCCAAUUAAAAAGUUAUUGAUUUUUUUUAAAAUUUUAAUUCAACUCGUCCAUACCGAUUCCGCAUCUAAUCAGUUCAAAAGCCACUCGUGUUUAGUUGUGUGUGGGUUUUGAGAUCAUUCAUUUGAUAGAACUUCCAAAUCAAUGGAGGCUGAGGCCGAGGCCGCGACAAGGAGGCCGAGACCAUCAUGCUCAUAUCGCCGGAACUAUCUAAGCUGCAAGCAGUCCUUGAAAGAGCUGGUAAAUUCCUUCUUUUUCUCCCUAUUUCCAUGGGCAUCUUUGCCAAGCAAUAUCUCAAUGUAUGUUUAUUUGCAUGUUAUCUUAGUGCAACAAUGUUCGAUAUUGCAGGUAUCCCUACACAGUCGAUCGGGGAGACCAGCGAUCUUUAAACGAGAGCCCGACACAAAUGCACUAGAAUUUCACACAAGGCCUACGAUUCCCUAGCAAUCAAAGCCUAGAUUUCCAGAGAAAUUCAUACUACUUUUGAUAUGCUCAUGUAACCGUACCAUGUUUGUGUUAUUAUCAUGUGUCGUGUUCUAAACAAUGAAAAACCGAGAGAGCUACAUCCAUACCGAAGUAAACCACAAGCAAAAUCUUAAACAUUAAUGGAGUCCAUAGAACAAUAUGCAUUGUCAACAGUAACAUUGUAUUUUGACUAAGCAAUUAAAAUCUCAGCAUCAAAAGCUGAAACAUUCGUACCUAUAGGAGUACAAGACCGAGCUCUGAUGGUCUCAAAGCAUUUCGUAUCCGAUAAUUAUACAAGUAGUAGUGAAGUUGCCCAUCACCUGGUCCGAAUUUUAGUUCUUUGAGGAAGGAUUCAUUGUGCAUGACAUCCAGCGCGUUGAAAACGUCAAAAUCCUUUCGGUUAGCAACGAUGAGUGCAUCAUUCAUCAACUGAAGCAGCGGAGUCUUUGUGGAGACAUUAUAGUAAGAGUAGGCAGCUUUCAAAAUCGAAUAGUUUUGGUUGCCGAGUAUUGAUGAUGGCAGUGUGUAGAAACUGCAGAAGUCAGUUAUGUCAUGUGUCUCUGGGCUCUCUACUAAGUAACUGUCCACGACAUCUUCCGUAGGAAGAAGCCAGUGUUGCACAUCAUUCUCAUCAAAAUCUGGAGAGACAACGAACUGACUCAAGUAGUUUCUGAGCAACCUAGUAACAGCCGAGACAUCACGAAGCUCCAUUUUUCUGAAUCCAGGGGUGACAGGAGAAUCAGGCAACUUAUAAAGUUUAAUAGUUCGACUCAUAGUCAUCCGAGCCCCGAGCCUCGAAAAGCCAACUUCAAUAAGCUUCUUGGGGUUCAAUGACCUAUGCCAGUACUGGCAAGUAGUAAUCGGUGUCGGAAGAACAACUCCGGCUGUAUAAGCUGCCUGCCAAAUAUUCUCCAAAUGAACUCUCCUAGUAACCUCCUUAAUCAUCACUGGUGCAAGUCUUUUUGAUCUCAGCUUUUUAUGAACACAUAAGAAAUUGAUCUCAGCCAUCUUCACAAUCUCAUUACGCACCCUUAUCCUAGCAGGGACGCCAGUAAUGAAAGCAACAAGCUUCUUCGAAGCCUUAGCUCGGACACCAAUGUGCCAGCUCUUGUAAUAACCAGGAGGACGUAAAGCCCACCUAAGAAACUCCUUGGAAUAAUUGAACCUAAACAAAUUCUCAUCAUCUUCAACAUAGUUGUUCUUCAAAAGAAUGUAAACCUCGGUACAAGUCUCUUCCGAGUCCAUAUCGCAUGUGGUCCAUUCAUACGGACUCGGGAGGUUAUAAGGUUCCUGUUUGACUUCGGACAAAGGAGUUGGCAGCUCGAUAGAUCCGUCGGGUAAACUAGUGUCCCCAACAUCCUUAAAUUGACCAACAGGCUGAGUUUCCCAAAACUUAUGCCUCUUUACUGAGGACAUUGAAUCCUGAAACCUUCGAACUAUGGAUUCUAAUGAGCUAUCAUCAUUGGAAAAUGGGUUAGCCUCAGGAUUCGGAUCCGGGUUUUCUUUCGGUGAUCCGGGUGGUGGAUUACCAUCAGUCAUUUCAAGCAAUCAAUUAAUUUCAGCUCUAUUCUCAAAAUAAACCUGAACCAGUCGAAAUCAUAAUAUAUUAUAUCCACUUCAAAAAUCAAAACAAGAAUAUAACAAUCUCUAAAUUUUAACUUCUAUCAAAUAAAUCAAAACGACAUCGUUUUCUUUUCCACUAGAUGAUUAAUGAGCUAAUGGAUCUGCAUGAUUGAGCUGAAAAUAUUAGUAGAAAUAGAGUAACUUACUGAGAUUAGCAGAUUCAGGAAUCUACUGAAUGUUGACUAAUUUAUUAAGACAGAUUUUGGGGGAUGAUCUUCGAAGCCGAAGCGAUGGACUCUUUAUUUGUGUUGAGUUGUUUUAUUUAAGGUAAAAGGGAGACGAUUUCUAGGGUUUUAUUCAACAGAGCGGCAUUGAAGAUGCCGAAACAGCGAAACUCAAUUUGGUUUCUAGUGAAAUGGUGACAGUGAAAUAAAACAGUAUAUUUGUUUUCUUGUUAUCCAAACAAAAUGACGGCUCUCUUUUUCCUUUUAAAGCUCCGGUGUGAGCCCAAAUCGGCCCAAAGUAAUCUUGGACUCCUGGUGUGGUUAAGAAAUAAAUUAAAACGAUAUAAAUACGAGAAAAAAAAAAUAUAAUAGAUACAGUAAUCAUUAUUUUGCCUCUAUCUCGUCUCGGUAAAAUAUAUUUUCUCGAUCAAAUAAGAUUUAAGUAAAUUAUUAAAAGAGUUAUUUUUAUUUGCCUUAUGUUAUAUUUUAGUCACUUAUGUUUGAAAUGUUACAUUUUAGUUAUUUACAUUAUUGUUUUGUUACGAAAUGAUUACUCUGCAAUUAAGAUCUGUUACCUCCAAAAUGACAGUCUGACAUUACAGUUAAAAUGGAUUUUAAAUGCCAACGUGAAUGUUCAACUGGGAUGGAAAAAGUUAAAUUUUUUUUAUUAAAAUAGAAUAUAAAAGUUUGCUCAAUUGAGUUUUUUUUUGUUACCAUCAAAUAAGAGAAGAAGAAAUUGACGCACCAACCUCUAUAACUGUUUGCUAUUGUGGUUGCCUAGCUAUGUUUAGAACUUCAUGAUUGAAUGAAAAUCCAGGUAGGAGAUUUUUCUGGAAAUGAAAGAAGGCAUUGUUGCCAUUUUUUCUAUUGAUUUGAUCCACCUAUGUCACCUCGUGCAAAGGUGGCACUUGUUGGACUGUUAAGGAAAGUGAGAAACUUAGGGAGGGCGAAAAGAAAGGAGAGAAUGAUUUGGAUUGUUGUAAUAGUUGUAUUUCUUGUAUUGCAUUGAGUAUGUAGAGUUUAGAGGUUGAAUUAAGGUUACGUUUAAGAAUAAAUUGUUGCUUUAGGGAUUAUGGGUAUAUUUAUUUUCAAUUGUUGCGAGAGUGCAAAAAAAUGAGAAUGAUUUAGAUUAUUUUUAUUUUUUUAAUCGUUUUGUUCUUUUCUUCUCUUCUCUGAUGGUAACAAAGAAAAAAACUCAACUCGACAAAAUUUUGUAUUUUAUUUCCAUAAAAAAAAUUUCUCAUCUCGACUAGACAUCCACGUUGAUAUUUAAAACUCAUUUUAACUAUUACGUUAAACAGUUGUUUGAAAAGUAACAGAUCUUAACAGCAAAAUAACAAACAAAAAUAAUUAUUUUAAUAGUUUACCUGAAAUAUACAAAGCACAAUUUUUAACUAAAAAUAAACCUCAAAUUUUUUUUAAACUCACUCUUAUUUAUAUAUAAUUAACCCAAAUACAUUUAAAUUCAUCUAGAUUUUUUAAAUUUUCUUAAAAAUGCUUUUUAAUAUUCAGUAAUUUUAUAUUUUUAAUUAAAUUUUAAACAUUUAAAAAUUGACACGCAUUAAGAUAUUUAAUUCACAUAAAAUAAUAUAAAAUUCAAAAACAAAAGGGACUAGAAUCCUAGAAGUUGGAGCUUAAGCUCAACAAUUUAUUAAUUAAAAAUAGAUACUAUAAAAUAGGUCACACUGUUUAAGGGAAAGUGAAACAAAAGAAUAUAAAUUUCCUAAAAAUGAAAAAGAUAAAAAGGAAAGUAUGAACAAAGUGACACGAAUACAGUAAGUAAAGCAAUUUACAAUGCCAUAAAAAGUUUCAAAACGUCAAGAAAAGUGUACCAGAUGACCAAGAAAACCAUAAUCUUAUAAAAGAUGAAAAGGAAAACAGCGAGUUUAGAAAAUAAGCCAUACCACUCUUCUACCCUUCUUCACAGGCCUUUUUUUUUUUUUUUCAUCAAUGGAGAAAUUUUAAUGCUUUGGGUGCCACCAUGUCCAACCAAAUCAGGAGAUCCAAGUCACAAGUUUCUUGAAAACUCAACUCCCCCAAGGAUACCUACUCCGUUUCCGGGUUCAAAAACAGUUUAAUAAUGGAUUCUCUCGUCACUUUCGAACUGCAGGCCCUCCAUACCUUUGAGGGCAGCUUCGUAGUUCUUGGCAUGAGAGGUGUUUCUCAUGGACGAGGCCCGCUUAGGGUCAGAAGAUUCAACGGGGCUUUGUCGGCUUGAGUUUCUGUUCAAACCUCCAUGGCUAGCAUCGGUUGUACGAGAACGUUGGGGGUCGGCCUCGCUACCAGCAAAAGCUUCACGGCUACCAGCAAUGUGCCUUGAAGAGGAUCCACCGGAUUGCCCCAUAUACUUGUUGCCAAUAAAAUUCAAAUUAGCAGCAAAAGAUAAGAAUGAAAUAGAAUAUACAUAUAUAAAUGCCUACAUAUAUAUAAGCUUUUAGAUUAAUAUUGAUCAUCCCAUGUAUCUGCAGAUACAUCCUAAAUGAAAAGGAAGCAAGACAGUAACUAGAAUCUACACUAGUAAUACAAGUGCAUAUAAUCAUAAAAUAAAAAUACCAUAGCGUCUUUAGUAAUUGCAGGAUCAUUUGCAACUGGACCUUUCUGCUUUGCGUGACUUCCGGAAUUCAAGGGUCCUGAUGUUUUCCGCCGAGAUGAAUUCAUAGAUGACAAACCAGCUGCUCGCAGGUUAUCACCGGCUGCAGCCAAGAGAUACAAAUGGUAUAACUCAAAACAUAACUUGACAUUUCAACUUAAAGAAAUGGUUCAAGACAAUUCUUAUACUUACACACCAAAUGCAUUUUUGUAUUAAAUAUCAGAUAAAGUUAUAAAAUUCAAUUUUGGAAUACGGAAGGGUGUCAGAAACAAAAGGUUAUAAAAUUCAAAACAUCGUAAGCACUGCUAUUUAAAAUACUCAAUUGUAUAAAAGGAACAACAGUUACCUGCUUGUCGGUCAGCAUUGGCAAAAGCAGGGGGCAUGGCAGCACUUGUUCCAGCACCGGGGCCCUACCAGAGACAAGCAUUAGAAAAGAUACAUUCCAUACAGCUUAAUAACAGGAGCAAAACAUCCUACUAAGUACUCACAAGGGCUCGAGCUGGAGGAGUGGUCAGCUGUGAUUGCUGAUACUUCAAAAUGGUCCAAUCAAAGACAUAAUCGAACUGGAAGCCUGUUUAGUAAGGAUCAACAAGAACAAAGAGAUGUGACACUACUGUGAUCUAUGGAAAUAAUACAAGUUGACAGUAUGGAUUGUUAAAAACGCAAAUUCAAACCUUCACGAAUAAAGAGAUCACGAAAGAUUCUUUUGAGAUAAGAAUAGUCUGGCUUAUCAUCAAAUCUUAGUGAACGGCAAUAAUGGAAGUAUGAUGCAAAUUCUGUUGGAUAACCUCGACAUAAGGCCUGAAAAGCGCAUCUAUCUUUAGUCAUAAUUUUUUUAACACAAAAUCAGAAGCUCCAAGACACAUGAACAUCUUCCGAAUAUCUCAUUCCCUUUACAGAAACCUAAUGCAAUUGCAAGAUUUACAGACAUCCUUACCUCAAUUGAAGUAGAAACCUUCUUCUCACUAAUUUUCUCAUACUUCUGUUUCUUUGUUCCAGCUUUCAGACCUUGCCAAGGAAGACUGUUAAAAGAGGAGACACCAAAAAUGGUAACUAUUAUGAAAUACACACAAGACAAAAAGGAAAGUACUAUAGGUAACAAGAAUUCACCUUCCUCUUAGGAAGUACAUAAGCACGUAUCCAAGAGACUCCAAAUCAUCCCUACGGCUUUGCUCUACAUGGAAUAGGACAGAUAAUCAAAACUGAGAAGGCUUGAAAGAUCCAGACAUUAAAGAAAUUACAUCAGAAUAAAAUUGACCACACAUACCGAUGCCCAAGUGUGUGUUCAUGCUUGCAUAUCUUGCAGUUCCAGUCAGAUUCUUAUUCUCCCUGAAAUGGACAUGACCAAGUAAUAUAUUUAUGGUUUCACAAGUGCACCACAAACUAUGAAGAAAUAAAUCAGUAAAAUGAAAAUUGAAAGAUAGACUCUUAUUCUCCCUGAAAUAGACAUGACCAAGUAAAAUAUAUAUAUAUGUAUGUAUGAUGCAUCAACAUUGCCACCACAGGUAAUAACAAUUACCCUCAUGACAAUUCAUCAAAAUUCUUUAUUUUGGAAACUCCAAUACAAGCCAUACUAAAAGAUUAUAGCCAUAAGUUAAAAUGUUUUAACCAAGCUGGGGAAAUUUCAUAACUCAGAACACAAAACAGACCAGAGAACCGGACAUGUAUCAACUAAUUUUGAGACAGAAUAUGGACCAAAAUUGAAAUGUAAAUCAGGUAAAUGCCUCAGGUAAAAGCUUGAUAAAUUUAAAUUCAUCAGCAAAAACUCUCCCUUAAUUGAGUUUAAUAUCAUUUCUCUAUCAAUAUUUUCAUGUCAAAACAUUAUAUAGUAAGUUGCACAUGCCAUUUAUCAAAAUCACAAAAGAAAUAUGGAAUCCAUCAAAAUCACAUCUUCUAAAAGAGGAUGCACCUUCACUAUAAUAACCAGUCAAUGAUGAAAAACAUGGGAAUCUCAAAGUAGAUUCAGCUCAGAUUACACUAACCGUAUUAGUUUUUUCUUUUCAUUUUUAGAAAUGGGGGGGGGGGAUUGGGAACAAACCAGGAUUUUUAACCUGCACGUAUAAUACAAUACAUCACAUUAUGCAAAGUUCUCUCACCUGUAAGGAAUGUGUUGAUGUGAACUGUCUCUAUAUUUCUUAGCAAGACCAAAGUCAAUCAUAUAGACCUAUGUGAAAAUGAAAAGCAAUGGCACAUUAGAUUUUCCUGCAACAUAUAAAAGAAGGAAGAAAAAGAACACAUAAAACAUAAUAAUAUUUUGAGCAGAAAGCAGAAACCUGAUUUGCACGCCUUCCCAAGCCCAUAAUAAAAUUGUCUGGCUUGAUAUCCCGAUGUAGAAAUGAUUUUGAAUGAACAAAUUCAACACGAUUGAUCUGAGAAAAAAAAAAUAGAAUUAAUUGACAAGAAAGUAAAGGAAGAGGAACUGAAGUAACCAAUCUAUAGAAUUCUAAAAAGCUACCAUUUGAUCAGCAAGCAUGAGAACUGACUUCAAUGAGAGUUUCCUACUGCAGAAAUUAAAUAGAUCUUCAAGACUAGGUCCAAGUAAAUCCAUAACCAUAACAUUAUAGUCUCCCUCAACUCCAAACCAUCUAACAUUUGGAAUCCCAGCUGACAAGUAAAAGAUAAGAUAGGGAAAGUUAAUAUUUGCAGGCAUAAGAAACAAAAGGAUAAGUAAAUAUGAAAUUUGAAAAAACAACCAAAGGUUGAAACACGAGCUUUAUGUUCUUAAAAAAAUGAAACUAGAAGUAUCAUUACUUCCUCCCUGCAGGAUCCUGUAUAACUUCGAUUCAUAUAACAAUUGAGGAUGCUUUGUCUUCACAUUUUCCUGUUCAUUAAAGAAAAGGUCAUUAAUUCCCUUAUGUACCAUAAAGAAUUAAAUAUGUUUAAAACAACUACAACAAAGGAGAAAAUUAUUAUCAAAUUUAACAUAAGCAAGCUAUUGUUUUACAGAAUGUCAAAACUUUAACUGAUCGAAUCAAAUUAAUAAUUCAAGCAGAAAAUUAGUUUAAUAAUAAUGUCAGUCAAAUUGAAAGUGGGCCCUUAAAAAGCUUAUAAAGUAUCAUUGAUUAAUUAAAAGACUUCAAAUCAAAUCUCAAGAAUAUAAUGAGAAUAAUGCAUAUACAACAGUAAAUUGGUAAUCAACAUACAAAGUAAGUCAUCCCAUUUAACCUUAUUUAUUUCAGGUGAUAACCACCCAAAGUAUCUUCUUCUUGUCUACUGUGCCAGCCAGCAAUUAGAAAAUAAGAAAUUUUUACUUAUGAACAAAUCCAAUCCUCCUUUUGAUAAUUGUGAUGUUCCUACCAAGUUAAAUCAUGAUUAAUAGUUUUCUUCUCUGUUUCUCUCUCUUUAUUGCCAAGGGAGUCCACGAACUAUGAUUAUCAUUAAUUUAAUGCAACCCUAAAACUAUAACAAAAAUAACACCAAGUAAAAACUGUAAUUGCUAUGGAACAAACGGGAAAGUGAAACAAUGGUCACUUCAUUUGAAUUUCUGUUUAUUUCAGUUAAUCUUUUGUUUAAUUGUAAACGUUGCAUAUUGGUUAAUUUUAAUGAUCCGGUGCGUUUUGGUGGGAGGAGAGGGGGAAUAAGUAUUGUCCAAAACAGGGCGUUUUGGACUAAGGAACCGUUUAAUGAAACGGUGCGUAUUAAGCUGUUUAGUUACCAGCUCUAUUCGAGCUGUUAUUUCUCUAUUUAGCCACCAAUCAGGCAAGGGAGGCAGUUAUGUAAUUGGAAAUCAGUUUUCUCACUCUCUCUUCCUCAUUUCUCUCGUGCUCUCUUCUCUCUUCUUCCUUCUCCUUUCUGGCUACUUUCUUUCUUCAAAUUCCAACCGUAUCAUAAACAUAAACCAAUGUGUCAAGGGCUCCAAACAUCUGCACCGUUGUCAAGCUUUCCCAGAACAUUACAAUUCUAUCAAGCAUGGUGCAUCUUAACCACCUUGACAAAUUAGAAUCAAAUUCCUUUCCUUCCCAUGCCCAUUUGCUAGAAUCUGAUUACCUAAAGAAUUAUAUAUUUCUACAGUUAAUUGCUUCUACAUAUCCUACGACUAAAGUGCAGCACUAAGUUAUAAACGAUCUUGUUAAAGCAAGAAAUCGAAUGAACAUCAGCUCUAAUAAAAACCUAACCAGAAUAUCAACAACAUUGCCAUGCUAUAGAUCAGUACGCAAUAAAUUAAAGUUACAAACAAGAAAAUCAUACAAAAUUAAACCUCUUCGUUUAAUGGCAAGCUUAUUUGCAAGGCUACUUACAAGCUUAAUGGCAACCUCUUCGUUUGUCUGAAUAUUCGUACCUGCAAAAGGAAAAAGAAAUUACCAACCUAUAUUCAAAAUCAUACCAAAAAAAAAAAAAGGAAAAAAUAAAAAUAUGCAACAAACCCAAAUAAAUCUCUCCAAAAGAGCCGCUACCGAUCUUACGACCAAGUCGAAACUUAUUACCGACACGAGGCUCCAUCAAUUCAACUUAAAAGUAGUAAAGAAAGGAAGAAAAAUAAUUGAAGCCCUAACUAUAACCGGAAACCCUAAUUCAGAAAACUCCCACAAAUUUAAAACAAAUAAAAAAACGAGGAAAUCAUUUUGAGACACUGAACACCAAAUCAACCGCUCCAACAAUUCAUAUACAUCAUAAUUUUCGAUCACGUAAUAGAAUUAAAACAAAUCAAAAGGAAAUAAAAAUAAAAAGAUCUAGAAUCCCAUCUUGGUUUUAAGCCAAAAAAACAAAUUAAAAUUAACAGAAAAGCUAGGGUUAAGCUAGCUUAACCGUAAGGGGAAAAAAAAGAAAAAGAAGAGUAGCUAAGAAAUCAUAAUUCUGUUUCUAUGAAACGCUAAAAACAGAUAAUUAGUAUUAUUUUCUAUCUCCAAAAAGGGUGGCUUGAUAAUUGAUAGGGAAAUUCGAUGGGCUCCGUGGAUUGGAUUUUAGUGAUCAAUGCGACAAUGGAAAUGUCUGAUUCACAUGAUUUUCUCUUCACUAAUUUUGGGGGUUUUUUUAACCCCCCUUCUUAUGUAUUAAUCAAUUGACCCCAUUGUAUAAAUAUUUUCAAUGUUUUUUAAGCUGUAAAAAUAUUAAGGGUAAACUACUUAGUUGGUCACAUAACUUUUAGAAAACUUUCAGUUUGGUCACUCAAUGUUUAGGAUGCUUUCAUUUUAGUCACUCAAAUGUUAAAUAUCUUAUGACGGUUAAUUGUACGUGCCACGUCAUGUUUUCGCUUUUGUGUAGGUCACCCGACAUUUAGGCCACUUGCAUUUUAGUCACCCAAAAAAAUUUCUUUUUUAAGUAUAAAUUGGGGUAAAAAAAUCAAGGAUUAAAGUGAAAAAGAGUUAGGAAUUAAAAUAAUACACAAAAAAAUUCAAAUUAUACUUGUUUAUCCUACCGUUGAAAAUUCUAAAUUUAGGUUUUGAAAUAUAAAAUUUUAAAUAUUAAGAUUCUAAAUUAUAGUAGUAAAUCGAUUGACAUUAUCUUGAAUCUUUUCUGCUAAACUAAAAGCAAUGAAAAAUCCUUACAAUUAAUAAAUUUUGUCUUCCAUUCCCAACAAAAACUCAUAAAUUUUCAUUACUUUUUUACCCCAAACGAAGAACAAACAAUUAAUUAAUUUUAAUCUCGUAGUAAGAAAUCAGUUGAAUUUAUCAAAGAAUAAAAAAUCUUCAACAAUUUAUUCCAUUUAUUUUGAUGUUUUGAAAUUUAAAAUUUUAAUAUUAAAAAAAUUAGGAUUUCAAAAAUGGGAUAAAUAAGUACAAUUUGACAAUUUUGUGUAUUAUUUUAGUUUUUAUCGUUUUUUCACUUUAAUCCUUGAUUUUUUUGCCCAAAUCAUGGUUAAAAAAAAUUUAGGUGACUAAAAUGAAAGCUACCUAAAAGUUGGGUAACCAAAAUGAAAGUGUAAACAUGAUGUAGUGUGUACAGUUAAUUGGCAUAGCGCCCUAAAAUUUGGGUGACCAACUAGGUAGUUUACCCAAAAUUAAUAACAAAUUCCACUUGCGGUGAUAAACUAUGUUUUUUAUUUAAUUACUAUGCAUCCCCAAAUUAUUAUAUCAUUCUAAAUUGGUCCCUAAACUUGAAAACAUUCUAAUUACAUUCUAAAACUAUCGAGGUCAUAUCAGUAAGGUCUUUUUUGUUAAAAUCAUUAAUUUAACCGUUAAAUUAGCUGUAAUAUCUGUGAAAAAUAAAAUAAAAUAAAUAAAUAAAAAACACACAGAUUUUUUCGUGGAAACCCUUUCGGGAAAAAAACACGGGCAAAGGAGAAGAAAAUUUACUAUGUCGAAUUCAAAAAUAAAAUUGUUACAAGAGGAAUAGGCUAAUCUAUGUCGAAUUCAAAAAUAAAAUUGUUACAAGAGGAAUAGGCUAUGUUUAUUUAUAGGCUUGUAAAGCCAUAUUCUAGUAAGACUGAAACACCUUAUUCUAAUCAAUAUCAAAUAGAUAGAUUUUAAUAAGGUUUAAAAAACCUUAUUCUAAAAUUAAAUAAAAGAAAUGUAAUUCUAUAUGGAUUCUUCUUUUAUUUUAUUUUACCACUGUAUUUUAUUUAAAUAAGGAUUUGGGUCACUUAAUUCUAACAAUCUCUACCUUGACACGAAUUCUUAAUGAACAAGUUUUUCAUCGCGAACUCUCAACGAACAAGUUCUCCACCUCUUCCAUAAAACCCCUUAAGGGUUUAACUUCAACAAUGAACACCAACCAAGUCUAAGCAAUGUUCAAACUUGGUUAUAGGAAGUGACUUAGUCAUCAUAUCUGCAGGAUUUUCAUGAGUACUAAUUUUGCUCACAACAAUAUCAUCACGAGCAAUAAUAUCACGGACAAAAUGAUACCGAACAUCAAUGUGUUUUGUUCUCUCAUGAAACAUUUGAUCUUUUGUAAGAAAGAUGGCACUCUAACUAUCACAAAAUACUGUGCUGAUUUGAAGGUCUUCAUUGAGUUCACUAAAGAGUCCCUUCAACCAAAUAGCUUCUUUACAAGCCCCAGUAAUCGCCAUGUACUCAGCUUCAGUGGUAGAUAAAGCGACUGUAGUUUGUAAAGUGACUUUCCAACUGAUUGCACAACCUCUGAUUGUAAAGACAUAACCUGUGAGAGAUCUUCUUCUAUCAAAGUCUCCAACAAAAUCAGAAUCAACAUACCCAAUUACUCAAUCUCUAGUUCUUCCAAACUGUAAGCAAACAUCAGUAGUUCCUCAUAAAUAUCUUAAAAUCCACUGAACUGUUUUCCAAUGUUCUUUACCGGGAUUCGCCAUAUAUCUGCUAACUGCACUAACUGCAUAUGAUAAAUCUGGACAUGAACAAACUAUAGAAUACAUGAGAGAUCCCACUGCACUAGAGUAUAGAACAUGUGACAUGUACUCAAUCUCAUCAUCUGAUUGUGGAGACAAAGCCGAUGAAAGUCAGAAAUGGGCUGCUAAUGGAGUACUAACAGGCUUAGCACUCUGCAUAUUGAACCUGCAAAGAACUUUCUCAAUUUACCCCUUCUGACUUAGGUACAAUUUACUUACUUUUCUAUCUCUAAGAAUCUCCAUAGUAAGUAUCUUAUUUGCUGGUCCCAAAUCUUUCAUCUCAAAUUCUUCACUUAAUUGUGCUUUGACCUUUCUUAUCUCUCCUUUAUCUUUUGUUCCUAUCAACAUGUCAUCAACAUAAAGAAGUAGAUACACAAAAGAACCAUCACUAUUUUUCUUAAAGUAAACACAACUGUCAAAACUACUUCUUUUGAAAUCAUGAUAAGUCAUAAAGGAAUCAAACCUCUUGUACCACUGUCUUGGUGACUGUUUCAAACCGUAAAAGGGACUUUUUCAGCAAGCAAACAUAGUCCUCUUUUUCUGAGACUGUAAAACCCUUUGAUUGUUGCAUGUAAAUAUCUUCUUUAAGUUCUCCAUGCAAAAAUGCAGUUUUUACAUCUACCUGCUCAAGCUCCAAAUCAUGCAUGGCCACAAUACCAAGCAAAGCUCGAAUCGAACUAUGCUUUACAACUGGGGAGAACACAUCUGUGAAGUCCACUACUGGAAUUUGACUGUAACCCUUUACAACAAGCAUUGCUUUAUAUCUGGGUUCUUCAACUCCUGGAGUCUCUUCUUUCUUUUUAAACACCCAUUUACAACGAACAGUCUUUUUACCUUUAGGAAGUUUCACAAGAUCCCAUGUUUUGUUUUUGUGAAGUGAUUCCAUGUCCUCUUGCAUAACAAACAUCUAUUUUUCUGAGUCUUCACAACUAACCGCCUCAGAAUAAUUAGAUGGCUCUUGGUUUACAUCUAUAUCUUCAGCCACAUUUAAAGCAUAAGCAACUAAAUCAGCUUUGACAUACUUCUUUGGAGGUUUAAUUUCUCUUCUAAUUUUGUUUUUGGCGAUAGAGUAUUGUGGUGAAGAAGCAACUCUAUUCUCAAUUUUUGUACUGGCUUGAAGAGUUGAGUCUGUAUUAAUCUAAUGCUCCACCUGCUUUUGAUUUUCUUUAUUGGAAGAGUCUUUAAGCGAUAAGUUAGGUAGCAUAGCAGUUUCAUAAAAAACAUCUCUGCUAAUCACAACUUUUCUAUUUUCAUUCUUUUACACCAGCUUUAUAACCAAGAAAAACGCAUUUAAUGGAUCUCGGUUCCAAUUUUUCAUUAUCAACAUGAACAUACGUAGGACACCCAAAAAUCUUUAAAUCAGAAGAAUUAGCAGAAUUACCAGGCUAUACCUCUUGUGGAGUCUUUUUCUCAAUGGCAACGGAUAGAGACCGGUUGAUAAAAAAUAUGCAGUAGAGGCUGCUUCUGCCCAAAACGACUUUGGUAAGUUGGCAUUUGACAACAUAUAUCGAACUUUCUCCAUGAUCGUUCUGUUCAUUCGUUCAGCGACGCCAUUUUACUGUGGAGUAUGGCGAACUGUCAAGUGUCUUACGAUCCCUUCUGACUUGCACAAUCUAUUAAACUCAUCAGAACAUAACUCUAAGCCAUUGUCUGUACGAAUGUAUUUUAUUUGUUUUUCCGUCUAUUUUUCAAUCAUAAUUUUUUAAGACUUAAAUGCGGAAAACACAUCGCUUUUCUGCUUCAAGAAGAACGCCCAAACUUUUCUGGAAAAAUCAUCAAUAAAGGUUAACAUAUAAUUAGCUCCACCUCUCGAAGGCAUUUUGAAUGGCCCCCACAGAUUAGAAUGAAUAUAUUCUAACGUUCUUUUAGUGUUAUGGAUUCCUCGGUGAAUCAAACUCUCUUUUGCUUCCCAAAAAUACAGUGCUAAAAAAAAAUCAGUUUGCAAAUUCCUUGCUCAUCAAGAAGUUCUCUUUUGCUCAAUUUUACCAUGCCAUUCUCACUCAUAUGCCCUAGGCGCAUAUGCCAAAGUUUAGUAAUAUCAUCAUCUGAGCUGCAUCACCAGUAACAGUAGAACCCUGCAAAAUAUAUAAUUUGGCAAUCUUUCUCUGCCCUUUCAUUACAACAAGGGAACCUUUGGAAAUCUUUAAAACCCUACUUUCAGUUGUGUAUCUGUACCCUUUUGAAUCAAGAGUACUCAAUGAGAUUAAAUUUCUUUUCAAUUCUGGAACAUGUCGUACGUCACUAAAUGUUCUGACAACUCCAUCAAACAUCUCAACUUUAAUUGUUCCAACACUUGCGAUUUUACACGAAGUAUUAUUUCCCAUCAAAACAACACCUUCAGACACUGUUUCGUAAGUUGUAAACCAAUCCCAAUUGGAACUCAUGUGGAAGGUGCAGCUUGAAUCAAGUAUAUACUCCUCGAUUUAACUCAUGUGGAAGGUGUAGCCUGAAUCAAGUAUAUACUCCUCGCUUACUUUAGAAUCAUUGACAGAAGCGAUUAGAAGUUCACCAUCACUGUAGUCUUCUACAACAUCAGCUUCACCGAAAUUUUCUGGUUAUUUUCCCUUUUGAUUCGCAGCUUCUCUUUUAAUCUUAUUAUGUAGCUUAUAACACUCAGAUUUAAUGUGCCAUUUCUUCUUGUAGAAGUUGCAAGUUUUACCUCUGUUUGAAGACUUUGAUCUACCCUUAGAUUUACCGCGAGGAUUCUGUUCCUGUGUCAUUCCAUGAUCAUCAUCAGUAUUCCGAUCUUGUCUCCCACAAACAAUGAGACCCUCUCCUUGAGAGUCAAGUUUAACCACAAGAUGCUUCAUCUUAUCAUACAAGGUCAAAGUAUCAUAAACCUCAUCAACUGUGAGGGACUCGCGGCUAUAUAAAAUCGUGUCUCUAAAGGUUAAAUAAGACGGGGGCAACAAACAAAGUAGAAUCAACCCUAGAUCUUCCUUAUCAUACUGAACCUCUAUGGCUUCCAAGUUUGAGAGAAUUUCUUUAAAAACUGUUAAGUGUUCGUGUACAGACGCACCUUCCUCCAAACAAUGAGUAUAAAGAUGCUGCUUCAUAUGCAAUUUGCUUGUUAGAGUUUUCGACAUACAUAUUUGUUCUAGUCUCUUCUAUAAUGCAGCGACAGUCUUCUCUUUCAUCACAUCCUGCAAAAUUUCGUUGGACAAAUGCAGAUGUAAUUGUGUUAAUACCUUUCAAUCCUUACGCUUCUUCUCUUCAUCUGUUAAUGUCGAAGGAAUCUUAUCUAUCCCUAGCAGGGCAUCCUUCAGAUCCAUCUGCACAAGAACUGCUUGCAUUUUAAUUUGCCACAAUGCAAAUCUGGUGUUGCGAUCCAACAACAGAAUUUCAUAUUUUAAAGACGCCAUUACCGUGAUCGAGAUGAACAACCCGGAAGCUCGGAUACCAAUUUGUGAAAAAUAAAAUAAAUAAAUAAAUAAAAAACACACAGAUUUUUCGUGGAAACCCUUUUGGAAAAAAAACCACGAGUAGAGGAGAAGAAAAUUUACUAUGUCGAAUUCAAAAAUAAAAUUGUUACAAGAGGAAUAGACUAUGUCUAUUUAUAGGCUUGUAAAGCCAUAUUCUAGUAAGACUGAAACACCUUAUUCUAAUUAAUAUCAAAUAGAUAGAAUUUAAUAAGGUUUAAAAAACCUUAUUCUAAAAUAAAAUAAAAGAAGUGUAAUUCUAUAUGGAUUCUUCUUUUAUUUAUUUUACCACUAUAUUUUAUUUAAAUAAGGAUUCGGGUCACUUAAUUCUAACAAUAUCUUAUGCGGCUUCAUUAAAAAUGAAAUGUUAGCAGAUAACUUUUAAAAGUAAAAACUAAAAAUAAGGUAAAACUGAAAAAAGAAAAGUAAAUGUUGUCACGUAACGUUUAAAAUUUUCAUUCUAAAUCAUGCCAAAUCUUAUUUGACAUCUCGUUUAAUAGUUAAAUUAACAAUUUUAGUAAUGAAAGGACUUAAUUAAUAAAACAACGAUAGCUUAGGGAUGUAAUUAGAAUGUAUUAAAGUUUAGAGACCACUUAGAAUGAAGAUCAUAGUUUAGGGAUGUCUAAUGUAAUUAAUUCUUUUUCCAUCGUUUUAAAAGUUACUAUUAGUCACCCAUAUUAUCAAGUUGUAACAUUUUGAUCACCCACCCGUUAAUUAUUUGUUGCUUCUUUUAACGAAAAUAUAAUGUGGGCCAGCACCUAAUUGCCAUCUAUUUUCUACAUAAUUUACUUUAAAUGACCACCUAAUAAACAAAUUGUCCGACCUUUGUUUGGCUUUAAAUCGUAGCUCUCGACCCCUUGAACUCGAUUUUAUCCUUCAUUUCUUCGAAUAUUUCACAUACUAUUAAUAUUGUAAUUCUCGACCUCUUGAACUCGAUUUAAAAAUCAUGAAUAUAAGCCAAAAGGUGGAAACUUUCGACUCUCCAUGAGCUUGUGUAAUAUGCAUAAAUUUGUUUCUUUCUUCGUUAUGAACAAAUUGAAGUUGAUUCCUAUACUACACUACUGAAAAAUCAAAGCGCAUUUAUUCCGAGACAAAAUACAAAUAAUAUUAUGGUGAUAUAUGAAUUGAUUUAUACGUUGAAAGUGAGAAUGAUAGUAAUGGAAAGUUUACCCUCAAAUUAGUAUGAAUACAACGAUUGAUCGAGUUAAAUGAAAUUUUUUUAGGCCAUAAUGUAAAUAAUGGAAUUCAAUGGUUGAUGAACUACAUUAAUCAUGUCAUGUGCAAAGACAAUUUCAUACAUGGUUUCUUUAAUGAGAAUGGUACUUCCCUUUCUUAGCCUUCAGAAGUGGUAUUAGGUUUCAAGCUAAUGGCCAAUCGCUGGCUGCUACCCUUUUCCCCUCCCUUCUCUCAUUACCUCAUCUCUCUCGUCUUUUCAUUCCUUUUCCCUCCUUUGUUACCGCUCUUGCCUUCUUUUGUUGUCGGCAUAACCUCAUUCCCUUUGUCUCUUGACCUCCGCAUUUCUUUCACCGUCUACCCCAUUCAUCUCCUAUUUUUGAGCAAAAUAAUGGCUUCGACUUACAUUUUUCAUGGGAUUCCCCAUUGUGGGGCUUGUGCUAAGCCUCUUAUAACUCGAGCUUGCAAAGUUGUUUUUUCUCCAACCACUAGAGGCUCACGUUCUCAAGUUUGUGGCUUUGUGUUUUCUCUUCAAUUGAUCUGAAAAGCUUUUUUACUUUUAUUGAGGCUAUGCUAGAUUUAUCCAUGUACCAGGCCGGUUUUGGGACGGAUCUUGACAAAAUUUCAAGUCUGUUUGAUAAGUUCAAGCUUGACUUGACUUGAAAAAUAGACUUAAAAUUUUGUCUAAGUUUAACUUGAAUAAAAAUACUAAAAUCUGAGCUCGACUUGUAUUAAAUUAUUAUUUUAUUAUUUUUUAAAUAAAUAUAAUGCAUUAAAAAUACUAAAAAUAUUAAAAUAAAUGUUUCCCAAUAAAUUGAAAAUAAAUUUUAAAAAAAUAGUGAGAAAAAACAUUUUUUUAUCAUAUUCAUUGGGCCAGACUGUAAUACCCCUACCCGUAUUCAUUGCCGGAAUAGGGUACGAGGCAUUACCGGAGUUUACGAAUUAAAUUUUUUUUAUAUUCAAUAUAGCCCCUUUAUAAAUAUCUAACAUUCCCUGCAAUAUUAAAUCGAGACCAAUCCACAUCAACCAAAUCAAUUCAACAUAUUUUCAAGAUAAAUUCAUGCAUAUUUAUAAGAUAACGUCAUCACAUAUCUAAAACCAGGUUUGUUAACCAUACUAAUGGCUAACUUUACAUUCAUUUCACGUUAACAUUUACUUUGUUAGCUUAUACAUGCCAUUGAUUUCCAAAAUAAAGUUUCUUUAUAUACCGAAAUCCUGAGGUUGAUAGUGUGAUGUGUCUUAGACCAAAUCCGACCUCUGAGCUCUUAACACUACAAAACAGGGAAAAAGGAAACGGGGUAAGCACUUUGUGCUUAGUAAGCUCAUGUAACAAGAAUUAUACUUACCUAAUAUUUUCAAUACAAUAUAAUAAACAUUCAUAUAUCCAUUCAAUGCAUUAUUACCCUAACAUGCACAAACUCAACAUUCAAGUUAGUACAAUAAUUUACAUGUAUCAAUAAUAUAUACCAUGAUUGAUGAGCUCAUCAAUAUCAUAAUUUCCAUUUCCUUGUUAUUUUUUUUAUACUUAUCCCGUUGAAUUUAUCAGAAUUUCGAUGGAUUUUCAAAGGUACACAUUUAUUGUACAAUUCCGAGUCCAUCAAUUCAUAUUCAUGUGCGCACAUUUCCAUUUCAGAGAACACACUCCAGCGAACCUCAAUCUUACAGCGGGAUUACCAGUCCAGGCUAAAUCCCCUGCAAUAUAAACUCAUAGAGUAUUGUCGGGAUUACCAGUCCAGGCUAAAUCCCCUGCAACGACAAUUACUCUAAUGAGCUUGGAUCUGAAUUACCAGUCCAGGCUAAAUUCAGACCCUAAUUCGGAUUACCCGUCCGGGCUAAAUCCAUUUUACACAUAUUCUUCGGGAGGGCUAUAUCAGGAUAGGAUCACCCGUCCGGGCUAGAUCCUUUUUACCGUCAAUUCCUUUUCAGAGAUCCAUCGAAAUUUUCCUUUUAUUCAACUGGGAUUUCUUCCCAUUUUUAUCAAAUAUAUCAAUGUUUUAUCAAUUUUCAUACAAUGAACAUUCAAAUCAUAUUCAUAUAAAAAAAGGUGCAUUUCAAGCAUUUAAGAAUAUAAUUCAAGUUACAUGAACUUUCCUUGAUACUUGUUUAUAAACAAUAAAAAUCUACUAAUUCCAAACUUUUUCCUUUUCUCGAUCUAGCUUUGUAUUUGAGUCUUCCGGAUCUACAUAAAUAAAUUUAAUUAUCAAUUUAAUACAUUUCAUGUUCAUAUGCAACAUUCUCUAUAAUUCAACUAUUAUUUAUAGUUCAUUCAAAGCUGUCUACUUGAGUCAUAGUCACUAAAUUAUUUAUAACUUGAGCUACGGAACUCCAAAUUAAGAUCUGUUAAUUUUCCCUGAAACUAGACUAAUAUAUAUUUUUACCAUAAAAUUUUAAGAAUUUUUUGUUUAGCCAAUAAGUAUAUUUUAUUCUUUAAAGUCACCCAUGUUCUGCUGUCAACAGUUCUGACCCUUCUUCACUAAAAAUUAAUUAUCUCUUCAUACAGAAUUCAAAUAAUGUUCUUGUUUAUUUAUAUUAAAAAUAGACUCAUUAAGGAUUCUAUACAUAUAAAUUUAAGCCUAUAAUUGUUUUUCUUCAAUUUUUUAUGAUUUUUCAAAGUCAGAACAUGGGAAAUCGAAUUUAUUCUGACAUUGUCUCACAAAAUUCAUUAUAUCUCAAAAUUUACAAAUCCAUUACUUACACUAUUUCUUCUAUGAGAAACUAGACUCAAUAAGAUUUAAUUCCAUAUUUUUUCAUCUUCUAAUUCGAUUUCUAAAAUUUAUGGUGAUUUUUCAAAAUUAGUCUACUGCUGCUGUCCAAACUGUUUUUGUGCAAGCUGUUUAUUACCAUUUUUCCCCUACUCAAUUAGCCUCUCAAUUGAGCUGAUUUUUCUAAAUUAACAUUUUAUUCUAUCACCUUAAACUAGUUUACAACCUUUAGGAAUCAGAAUUUCAGCAAUAGACUUUAAUUCCAAGCAUUUUCAUAAUUAGGUCCUAAAAAUCAAUUUCUAUUGAAAUUACCUAAUAAAAUCAUCUCAUAAACAAAUUAAAGCUUUAAUUUCAUUCUAUUUCAUCAUAAACUUACAGAACUCAACCAUGGUGACUUUCAAUUUCAUCCAUGAAAUCAAAAACUAAUGAAUUUAAUAGUAGGACCUAGUUGUAAAAGUCUUAGAAACACAAAAAUUACAAGAAAAAGGCAAGGAUUAACUCACUUGGUGCAAAAAUUAUGAAAUACCAGCUUAGAGAACCCUCCUAUUGCGUUUUUAGCUGCUGGAAUUGAAGAGAAAUGAAGAGAAAUCUAGAUAUUUCCUAUUUAGUCCUAGUUUUAUUUAGUUAAUUUUGCAAUAUUCCAAUUUUACCCUUAAUUUAUCAAUUUUUCUGCUGAUUUCAUACCCUUGCCGUCCAGCCCAAAUAAAUUUUGGGUCUAAUUGCCUUUUAAAUCCUUUCUCAUUAGACUUUUAAGCUAUUUAAUCAUUCUAGCAACUUUUACACCUAUUACAAUUUAGUCCUUUUCAUUUAAUUGACUACCCAAACAUUAAAAUUUCCUAAUGAAAUUUUAAUACCACAUUAAUAACAUUUCAUAAAUAUUUAUAAAAUUAUUUUUGACUCGGUUUUACAAGAUAGAGGUCUCGAUACCUUAUUUUUACCCAAUUUCUUCAAUAAUUUCUUUUUCUAUCCAAUCACUAAAUCAGUAAAAUUUUUCUAUCAAUAUUUUCAUACGAUUUCCCUAUUAUAUCAAUUUUCAUGCAAAAAUAUUGAAAUAAAUUUCUCUUUAAAUCAGAUUUGUGGUUACGAAACCACUGUUCCGAUAAUUUUGAAUUUAGGCCAUUACACAAACUCAAGCCAAAAAUUUUUUAUACAAGACCCGCAUGUUUUUUAAGAUGAGCCUUAUAUUUUUACUAAUCUCAUUUUUCGAGCCUAUAUUUUUAUCUGGAUCAUUCUACUUUUUCGGAAAGGCUUCCAAAUUGGGCCAGGUAUGCAACACUGAGAUCUACUAAAACAUUAUAGACAUCAGCAUCGAAAACAAUGCCCUGGUGUCACUAGGCUAGAUCUUUCGUCUUGCGAUCCGUGCGGCAUUAGGCGACCCGUUCGUCCAAACUCACCUAAGUCAACCUUUACUCAAGUGAGGAUUCCUUAAGAACUCCUCCAAGGCACCAGUUGUAGAGCUGAAACAAACUUAUGCCAAAAGAAGCAAUAAAGAACAAUAGAAAGCCACAGAAAAGAUUGCACACAAGUUGUUUAAGUAAAUGCUCUCAGAAUUCUAUUACUUUUAAGAAUUCACAAUUAAAAUGGAUGGAGUGAUUACAAAUGAGGGGGAGACUCUCUAAUUAUAAUUGAGCUCCCUAAAACCGACGAAUGAGAUUAACCAUAUCCCAUGAUUUAAGGGAUUUACAAGAUAUGCCAUAUUAAAUCCUGUCUAAUCUUUAUAAGAUAUGAUUUCCUCUAUCUUCUAAGAUUAGUUACCAAAUUAGCCAAAGUUUCCAUAUUUUUGUUAUCGGGCCAACCAGGCUUCUUUAACAAUUCCUUGAAUCGGGCCAGUUCUCAUGGGCCAAAUGAUCCCCAUCUAAACAAUAGACAUCCACUGAACGCAUUUGGUGCGAUGGUACGGGCUUUGAACUGCGGCCCGUGACAUUAGUUCAUAGUGCUCACAGGGGUUGAAACCCAACAAUGGGUUUGCUUUCAACUUGUUUGUAAUUUACUAGUGUUCUUUCUUCUUCUUUUUCUCGUUUUUUAAGAUCAAGUGUUGUUUCCGGUAUGGCGUGAUCUUCGGUCAGGUGCCACAUGUUAUUCUCUUCGACGAUGGUAUGCGACAAGUCCAGCUUAGAUCUCUUAAGGUUCAUUGUAUGGGUUUUAGGCAUCACAAGUUGGGGUUAAGCUUAAGGUCUCUAGUGUUGUAUGUAUUCUUCUCCCUUUUAGGAUUUAGGUCACAGUGGAACCAUUCUUUCGUUGUAAUGCUAUAGAAAAUUUGAUUGACUUAAUAAUGAUUGAUUACAUACAAAACAAAAUGAGCAAUGAAUACAAAAAAUACUAAUGAAUUAACAUUUUUGGCUAUUGAACUGGCUUUUAGUUAGAUGUUGAUAUGGAUCUUGGACUUGGCAGACCCAUGGUUGCAAUCCGUGGGGAAAGAUGCAUCUUUGGACUAGGCCUUGGUGAAGGGAUUGGUCCAUGGUUCACCACACUAGGAGCCACCCUUGGUGACAGGUUAACUUGUUCCAGUGCUUUGAACUGGAGCUCAGUUGGGUAGUCCCGAACACAACUGAUACGUGGUCCGACCCCUGUGGUCCACUUACAAGACAAUCUGUUGCCCGGAUUGAACAUUGGUGGUUCCAACUCGGUACCCUCCAUUAGUUCUUCUGGUUUGGGUUCAUUAGCCGAGGCUUGUCCAUAAUAGUCAUCAUCAGUGGCACAUCUCUGUAAACAAAAAAGGGUCAUAGAUGUUAGAAUUCGAAUUCUGAAAGCAUUAUAUACGAUGUCGAGCUGAAUAGAGAUUUUUUUUACCUUAACAUUAGUGAGAUUUACAUGGUUUUCCCCAAGGAAGUUGAUGAAUUCCAUGAAAUGCUCUUCUGUGGGAUGAUAGUGACCACUGUAUGGCCAUAUAGCCUAAAAAGCAAUGUCAAAAAGUGACAAAGAGUUAAGCACAUAAAUUACACCAAUACGGUUAAGUCGAGCGGUGAAGGCUGGACGAAAGUGAAAUGUACCUCAAGAACCCCAUCACAAGCAACUAAUCUUCCGGCAGCGGUGGUGGCACCACCAGCUAGAAAACUAGAAUGUUGAAAUUUACCCUUUUCUUUUUGACCGACAUACAAGGCUCUAGUUGUGCUAAGAACAAAUAUCCAUUUGAAUCCCCCUGUUGUAUCAACUAGUAACCCACUUUGCUUAAAAACAAGUUUCCCAUUCUCAAUUAUUACCUCAUAUUCUUCCCUUUCUUUCUGCAAAUAUAGUCAUUGAAAAAUGAUUUAUUAAAUUGAGGCAGCCAUUGUUGAAUCAUAUACAUUUUCAAGCUAAUCUUGUUUUAGAACAUACUGGUCCAAGAUAUGUGAUGCAUUGCUGCAGUAGUUUUUUCCUUGGACAUUUGCCGAGAUUUAAUUCUUUCCCAUCUCCAAUAUCCAACCUGUUUCAAAACAUCAAAAGACAAGACAAUGUCUUUACUAUGUUAUGAGAUGAUUUAUUUUGAGUUCACAGGGAUGUGAUGAAGGGCUGAUUUGUUACUGUUUUGUACCAGUAGAAGAAUGGCUGAGUGCUUUCACUUGAGAACCAAACAUCAUAGUACAGGUUUAAGUUAUGUCCAUAUCUAUGUCGUGGAUCAAUCUGCAAUGAAGAUAAUGUAAUGUCAAAGCCAUACAGUUAAGAUUAUGUAUAUAUGUAUAUAUGUGUGUAUAUAAUCUACAAAGAGGGAAAAGUCCCCGUCUUGAGUACUAGCCUCCGAUGAUUUGGAACAUGGAGUUGCAGCUAAUUGUUAAUGUUUCAAAGUAACUUACGGCUUCAAGCCAGUGUUGAAGGGCUAGUUUUUGAGCUUUUUCAUCUUUGGACAAUCCCUUUCCUACCUGCAAUUUAAUAAGGAAAAAACACCAUUGAUAUGGUUAAAUGGAGACGUAUUUGAAUGUGUUAACUGUAAGGAAAGGAUUCAUACCUUUGCUGCUCUUGUUUUGGCUCUUGCCCAUCGCGAAACCAUGGAUUCUGGUUUUUUGACAUCGAAGAACGACACAGAACUUUGCUUGAGCUCUGCAAGGUCUAAUACUUUCCACCAUAGCUCCUCAACGACCACUGCACAAUCGGCAAGGUUUCUUCGAGUCCGGUAGCCCUUGUACACCUUCUGAAGCUUAACAGCAGCCUCAUCGAGCUCACUAACUGGUCUUGGUGAAAACAAAAUCGUCGGUUCUGGUAGAGAAAGCGUGGAAAACGGCUCGUGCAAGAGUCCAUUUGAAUUCGAUACAGUCAAACCAAACUUCCCUUUAUCUGUAACUAAAUCCUUGAAAGAAAACGUUUUCUUGAGUACCACUUCAUGAUCAUGUGUGCCAUCUCUCAAUGUUCUUGAAUCUUUUCUUUGAAAUUCAUCUGAUUCAACCGAGUUAGUCAUGGAUUCUGAAUCUGUUCCCUUCAAACUAUUUGCCUUCAAUAUCACUUCUGUCUUUCGAACAAAGACUGACGUUGUAAGCCGAAUCGAAAAACCAGAACAAUAUGAAUUCAAUAUUCCAACACACUCACUCUAUGUAAAAGACUAAACCCUUUUCAUCAAGUUCAUAUAUACUGAAUUUAAUUGGCAUAUCUAUCUGCAUAUAUACUGAAUGCAUAAGAUAUAUACGAUAUAUUACAGGAUACAAAUUAUUCUAUAUCAUAAAGUUCAUAUAUAAGAAGAAUCAAAUCAAAUCAUUUCAGUCACUAAAUUCUAAUCUGAGCGACAUGAAUUCAAUAUCAACACACAGAUUCCAUGUAAAGGAUUAAACCCAUUCAUCAAGCACCUUAUAUGCAAACGCAAAACAACUUUUUGGCAUAUCUACUUGUAUAUAUACUGAAGAUUAUAUCAGAUACUUUACAGAUUGUCCCAUAUCAUAGUGUUCAUAUAAGAAGAAUCAAGUUAUGAAUUCAAUACGAACAGACAGACUCUAUGUAAAGGAUUAAACCCUUUUCAUCUAGCAUGCUACGUGCAAAAUCAAACCAAAGUUUUGGCAAAGAAUAUUAACUGCCAUACAUAUAUCUACCUGAAUAUAUAUACUGGAUAUAUUCUCUAUGAAAAUCCUGUACGAAUCGAUCAAAACGUUGUUUCAGAAUCUGACAACUCGCUCUCUCUUAUAUAAUACAAGCAAAAAAGAAAGCUAUGGAGUCCACUAAGCCUUAAAAUAAGUAUACACCAAACCUACCAAAAAAACAGGCAAUGGAAAGUCAUUGAAAUCGUGUACCUAACACCACAUAGGGCUUUGACUGAUAAAAAUGGGAUUAAAAAUAUGGGUCUAAUUCAACGGUUUUCGAGCUCGUGGUUGAAGACCACGAGCUGUUUGAUGAAUUCAAAGCUUGAAAUAUUGGGAUUUCUUAAUGGAAAACUUUGAAGGGCUUACAUUUUUAGGUCAACCUCUUCCUUUCUUGGAACCUUGAAAUUUUUCAAAGAAAGUAAGCUUUUUAAACAGAGCUUCCAUGGAAAUAAACGGAAGAAAAUGGUUUAAAAAUCUUUCAGACACUGGGAUUUUGUUGUCGUGUAAUUAUUUUUAACAGUCGACGAGUGUUCGGUCAUGGGAUUGAUCAUGCAAAUGACAUUUUUAUAAUUUCUUGAAAAUUACUGUUAAGAUUUUUGUUCUGCUCUUGUUGUCCAUUGUUGCCGCAAUCAUCCUGCAUUCAAUUCUUUUUCCUACCACUUUUCUGGCUUUUUUAUAAAAUCACCUUAAAUUUUUGAUUAAUUACGAAAAUGAACUAAUUUUCUGAUUAUAUAUAUAGGGUUUUUUACCCCAAUAUUAUAAAAACAAAAUUAUACACGAAAAUGGGUUCUCAACAAGAUUAAUUAUAAAAAUGGUAUACUUUUUGGGUCGUGCCUACCUGACAGGUACAACCUAUUAUUUUAUUAUUAAAUUUUUUAUUUAAAAAAUUUAUUAUAUUAUUAUUUUUAAUAUUUAUAUUAAUAUAUGGAUAAAAAUCGGAUUUUACACGGAUAAAAAACCCGAAAUCGGUCGAGCCUGACAGGCAGGCACAACACCCAGCACAUUUCCCUUUUCUUUCUUUGCAUGUUACAAAAAAUUGGUCUUAUAUCACUUUUGGUCCCUCUACUAGGCCUAAAAUUAAAAUUAUAUUUUUAUACUUGAAUUUCUACAAUAAUAUUUGGUCCUAUUUUUUAUAAUUUUUUUUCUAAAUAAUUAAUAUUGUUAAUUACUCUGAUAAAAUUUUUGACGUGUUUAGCUUAACAAAACAAUGAUAUGUUAAGCUGUAAUAAGUUUUAAAUAAUAAAAUUUCUAACAAAAAUGUAUUCCAACUUAAAAUAUCAUUGUUUUGUUAAACUAAUAUUUUGUUUAAAAAAACAAGUCAAAAAUUUUCAAAAAUUUUAUCAGAGUAAUUAACAAAAAUUUUAAUACAAUUUUGUUAGAAAUUUUAUUAUUUAAAACUUAUUCCCACUUAACAUAUCAUUGUUUUGUUAAACUAAUCAAAAAUUUUAUCAAAGUAAUUAACAAAAAAUUUAAUACAAUUUUGUUAGAAAUUUUAUUAUUUAAAACUUAUUCUAACUUAACAUAUCAUUUUAAAAAAACACGUCAAAACUUUAACAGAGUAAUUAACAAUAUUAAUUAUUUGGAAAAAAAUUAUAAAAAAUAGGACCAAAUAUUAUUGUAAAAAUUCAAGUAUAAAAAUAGAAUUUUAAUUUUAGGCUUAGUAGAGGGACCAAAAGUGAUAUAAGACCAAUUUUUUGUAAAAUGAAAUGUGCAGGGUGUUGUGCAUGCCUGUCAGGCUCGACCCGUUUCGAGUAUUUUUUAUCCGUGUAAAACCCGUAUUUUUAUCCAUAUAUUAAUAUAAAUAUUAAAAUAAUAUAAUAAUAAUUUUUUAAAACAAAAAAAUUAAUAAUAAAAUAAUGGAUUGUGCCUGUCAGGUAGGCACGACCCCAAAAAGUAUAUCAUUUUCGUAAUUAAUCUGACUGACAAUCCAUUUUCGUGUAUAAUUUUUUUUUAUAAUAUUGGGGUAAAAAACCCUAAUAUAUAUAUAAAGGGUUUUUACCGGAAUAUUAUAAAAAUAUAUAUAUGAAAAUGAGUUGUUGCUAAAAUUAAGUAUCAAAAUGGUAUAAGUGGAGGGUGGUGCAUAGGCGACACUACCCUAAUUUUCUGACACUAUACAAUAAAAAUAUAUAUUAUUUUAGUAGUGGAGGGUGUUAGACAGGCGACACCAAUUAUGCCUAUAUGAUAGGCGGCACUGGUGGUGUCUAUCUGAUAGAUAGCACACCCAAUAUAUUCCCCACACUCCCCCAUCUGGCUCGUAUCAGUUUGGAAAAGAAUAACAAAAACAUAACAUGAGCGAUACAUAAUAAAUACAAAUAUUUUUAUUAUUACUUUAAAAUGAUAAUAAGUAAACAUUUUUGGUUUAAAAUAUAAUAUAUAUAUAUAAUAACACCCCAACUUAAUUAUUAUAAAAAAUAUAUAAAUUUUUUUAUAGAAGUUCAAAAUAAAUUUCAUUUUUAUUAUUUAUAAAAAACAAAAAAUAAUUUUUUAAAAAAACAUAAAAUCUUAAAAAAUUAAAACAUAUAAACUAAUUCCUAAUUUAUCUCAUAAAUUCCAAAUUUCAUAUCAAUGAUUUCAUCUUUUACCUGAUUAAAAAUAAAAAAAUAUUAAAAUAAUAAAAAAAUAACAUGCCUUUCAUAAAAAAUACACUGGGUGGAGAGGAAAAAUAUACUCGGUGUUACACUAGGUGGAGAGGAAAAAUAUACUUGGUGUGCUGCCUAUCAGAUAGGCAUAACUAGUGUCGUCUAUCUGACACCCUCCACUACUAAAAUAAUAUUUUUUAAUGUAUAUUGUCAGAAAAUAAGGAUGGUGUCGCCUAUGCACCACCCUCAACCCAUCUAAAUGUACCAUUUUGGUACUUAAUCUUAGCAACAUACUAUUUUGGUAUUUUAUUUUAUUUUUAUAUAUUAUUAGGGUAAAAAACUCAUAUAUAAAUGACCUGAAAUUAAUUGUAAAAGUUAGAGCCAAAGCGAAUAGUGCCAUCAAUAUGUCACGUCAGCACCUGAAUAAAAAAAUUAAUAAAAUAAUAUAUAUUUUAAAAUUUUAAAAAUAAAAAAAAACCCUUAUACAUAAAAAAAGGUGAUGGCGUCGUUCUUAAUAGCUCCACCAAAAAAUUAAUUUUUUAAAGACCCUAAUUAUUGAGAAAUAACAAUAUUUUCGUGAUAUUUAUACAGGUAGCUUAUUCUCCUUGACACAUCAAAAAAUUGAUUUUUUUAUUCGAGUACCUAACGUAGCAUGUUGAUGGUGCCAUUUUUUUUUGCUCUACUAACUUUUACUAUUCGUUUAAGGUCAUUUAUGUAUAUAACCAGAAAAUUAAGUUAUUUUCAUAAUUAAUCAAAAUUUUAAGGUUAUUUUUAUAAUAAUAAAAAAAGCCCACUUUUCUUUACAUCUCACGUCACCCAAAAUUAGUUUCUAAUUUCCUUCAAAAGUAACAGUAUAUAAUUUUUAAUUUAAAACCCAAUUGGAAACUUGAAUUUGUAAUUUGUUUAUAAUUUAUAAUGAGUCAAAAUUGAAAACUUGAAUUUUUCUUUGGAUAAAGUAACUAGUUGUUGACCCAAUUUUUUUAGAUGUUUUUAUUUCGGUCACCUAAAUAAAAUUAUUUGUAAUUUGGUCAUCAUUAUUAGAGAAAUUUUUAUUUUAGUCACCCAAACAUUAAAUCCCUAACGGUGGUUUACUGUGCAUGUCAUGUCAUCAUGUUUUUUUACUAAUUUAACCCUCCACACAGUAAAAUUGGGUGACUAAAAUGAAAAAAAUUCUCUAACAGAAGUGACCAAAAUGAAAGCAUUGAAAAAGUUAAGUGAGCAACUAGAUAGUUCACCCUAAAAAAAACUAUAAAAUUACCCGUCGGGGUUGACAAGAUCAUUUGGGGAGGUACCUCGACAGGUUCCUUUUCCCUUAAAAAUGCCUAUGAAAAGCUUCAGGAAGGGUCGUGGAAUCCGAAAAAACAUAUUUGGCAUAUCCCCUGAAAAUUCCAAAACCCCCAAUAGAUUUGGUAUUUUAUUUGGCUGACUUUCAAUCAACGUCUGCUUACUGAGGUGGAACUAGCAAGGCGAGGACUAGGUCAUAAUUCAACAUGUGGGGUUUAUGGUCAUGGUUUUGAGGAUGCGCUUCAUGCGAUUAGAGACUAUUUUGCAACGAUGAAUGUCUGGGAUCAUUUAAUUCCAACUAAAUGGCAUGCUAGGUUCUAUGUAGGAAAUUUGUAUGAUUGGCUUAUGUUAAACUUGCAAAAUUAGCAUGACUGGUGUUUAGGAGAUGUAGACUAGCGAUGUCUAUUUGGGAUCACCGCAUGGCAUAUUUGGAAGAAUCGUAAUCUUCUCAUUUUUCUAGGGUGCUUAUUGGAGUGUUAAUGAAUCUAUUAAGGUGUCUUACAGUUAGGGAAAGCAAUUUGUCUCUUCUACUAGGGGCAAGAUGACUGAGAUACGAGGUAAGUUUUCAACUUUAUGUUUAUUUAACGAUUCAGUCAUUUUAAGUACAGAUGGGUCUAUCCAGAAAGAAGCUGGUUUUGCGACCACAGGGAGAAUAGUGCGUGAUCGAGACAGAGCAUGGAUUAUUGGUUUUAAUAGACAUUUGGAAGAUUGAUUUGUUUUUAAUACUGAGUCGUGGGGUAUUUUGAAUGGAUUGAUUAUUUUAUCUGACAGGGGAUAUAAUAAUGUGUUAAUUCAAUCGGAUUGUCUUAAGGCAGUUACAUCUAUUUAAGAGAGGUCUCCAGAAAGGUUAAAUUAUGCUUUGGUUAGAAUAAUUCCUCAGAUGUUGUCGCAUUUCAAAUAGUGGAUCAUUAAAAACAUUUCUAGAGAGAAAAAUUAAGAAGCUAGUCGUUUGGUCAAACUGGUCCAGCAUGGAUCUAAAGAUUUCUGCUUGUUUAAGAUCUCCUUGUUGAAGGGACUAGGUCUAGUUUAUGUAAUUAAUUUUUUAUAUUCUACUUUUCCAAAAAAAAAAGGUCAAACAUCAAUUUCCUCAAUUAAGUUAUCUAUUUUUGGUAAAAAUAAAUUAUAACUUUAUGGUAAAUUAUAUCAUUGGUCACCCAAGUAUUAACUUAUUUUUAUUUUAGUCAUUAACUUAAAAAGUUUUUCGAUUUCACCAUUAAAGUUAUCUAAAAUUAAAUAUUUGAAUCACUGCUUCGUUAAAUUAGGAGGUUCCAAGACUAAUUUGAUUGGUAUGAAAAGUAAAAUCCAAAGGCAUUGGGAGGUUAAGGUGUCGCAUGUUGCGAGGAGUCGGAAUUUAGUAGCGGAUGGCAUGGAAAGAUUAGCAGUGAAGCUUCCAUCGGAGAGACAACUCAUUGAUCUUGCUCCUCUUUCUGUUACCGAUGUAUAUACAGCCGAGUGUGCUGCUUUUCAAAGAUCCCUGCUGCAAUACUUUGUUGCUUUCCCUUUCAAAAAAAAGAAGGUUAAAUUUCAAAGAUUUUUUUUAUCAAAAUAUUAUUCAUGUCCAUUUUACAAUCAACAAAGAUUAAUUCUUUUAUGGUUCGUAGUUCCAUCACAAAAUAUUGUUAUUUUCAGAGUUUGAAUAUGAGAUUUCCUUUUAAGAGUACAACUUCCCUUACCAUUACACUAAAAAAAUAAGUUUAAGGGUGUAAAAAACCCUCAAACUUUUUUAAAAAAGAAGCAAUUAAGCUAUUGUCUUUUUCCCCCCACUCAAUUGAGUACUUAAACUGCUAAAAUGCAUUAAAAAAAUUUUUUUGAUCGUUAACUUUAACAGUUGAUUAUUAAAGUUAAUUGCCUUUAAUUUUUUUAGUUAAAGCCACCACGUGUCACAACCACGGCGUGACAUGUGGUAAAAAAUGAUAAAAAUAAAAAAAUAAAAAAUUAAUUUUUAAUAAAAAUAUAAAAAUAUAUUAAAAAUUAUAACAUUUUAUAGAGUCGUAAGAAAAUUAUAAAAAAAGUAAAGAAAUAUAAAAUUCGUAAAAAAAUUAUAAAAAGAAAAUUAUUAAAAGAAAAUUUUUAUAAUUUUUUUAUAACUUUUAUUCAUUUUUAUUUUUUAUAUUUUUAGUCACACACAUUUUGAAAUAAACAUGAAUUUAAUUGCUUUUCUUUUAUGUAUUUAAAAGUUCAAAUACAUUUUACACUCUAAAACCAAAAAAAUAUUGCAUUAAGCCCAAAAAAAUCUCGACCAAGUAAAAUUAUAUUGUUUACCGUGGAUUUAAAAAUUGAACUUUUUUUUUAUUUAAAAAAAUCCAACAUUUUUCGACCGAAAUAUAUGAAAGGAAGACACCAUGUUGAUCCGGCGACAUUCAAUGUUGGCGUCUGGUCCCAAAAAGUUCCAAAAUCUCCACCUUAAACCGGCAACUUUUAGAAUUGUCUCGUCCAUUCAACCUCUUCCUUCCAAAGUUAAUAUUAAAAUAUUUGAGAGAUGUUUCCAUCCAUGCAUAUGUAUAUAUUAUAACUAAAAAAACAUAUACGAUCAGAUUUUUAAUUGAUAAAUUAUAUUUAAAGGUGUUCAUGGGUCGAGUCAGAUUAAGUUUGGGUCAGGCUUAAGCAUAAUAUAUACUUUAUGCUUCGUCAAACUUGAUUCGGCUUGAAAUAUGAACAUUAAAUUUUCUCAAACCUGUCCAUAUUUGUAAAAUGUUAACACAAGCUUAUUUUAAGUCUGUCCAUAUUAUUUUUAAUUUUUUAAUAUUAUUUUAAUUUAAUAAUUUUUUAUUUAUUAAAAUUUUCUAUAUAAUCAUCUUAAUAUUAUUUUAAUAUUUACAUUAAAGUAGUAUUAUAUAUUUAAUAUAAGUAUUUUUGUAAUAUGUUAUAAAUUACAUAAUAUAAAAUAUUAUAAACUUAAAAAUAGGUCGAGCCGAGUUGAGCUCUAGUAAUAAAUGUUCCAGUCCAAGCCCGACCUAUAUUUUAAACAGAUUUUUUUUUGCACAAGUCUAUUUUUUAGGUCAAAUAUUUUUACCCAAAACCCUCUCAAAAUUUGAACGACCUUCGAGUUUGAAUAAAUAAUCCGACUUAUGAAUAAAUCUAAUGGUAACAAAUGGCGUCAAAAAUCUAGAACUAAGGAUAAAUUAUGACAAUUUGAUGAAACAACAUUGAAUUACGACAUUUCUCAUUUUUUUCCAACCAUAUUUGGCUGCCUCUUUUAAACAUUUAAAUCACGAGGGAAUACAAAAUUAAUCACAUUUAUUUUUUAGAAAAAAAGAAAAGAAAAAAGCUUUAUUAUUAUUAUUAUUAAUUUUAUAUUAUUUUAAUUUAAUAUUUUUUAUUUAUUGAAUUUUUUAUAUAGUUAUUUUAACAUUAUUUUAAUGUUUACAUUAAAUUAGUAUUAUACAUUUAGUAUAGAUUUAUUUUUUAAUGUAUUAUAAAUUAUAUAAUAUAUAAAAAUAACAUAAUAUAAAAUAUUAUAAACUUACAAACAAGUCGAGCUAGGCUCGAGCCUUAAAUGUUCAAAUUUAAAUUCGACUCAUAUUUAAAACGAACCUAAUUUUUUUAUCAAAACUUAUUUUUUAAAUUUAUAUUUUUAUCUAAACCCUCUUAAAUUUCGGAUGAACUUUCAUGCAUAAAUAUAUAACCUGACCAUGAAAUGGUAUAGAAAUAAAUACCUUGGUCAAUUAAAUAUUUGAAUAUACUUUUCUUAAAAAAUGUCAUAAAUAAAGUCCCCUUUUAUGCUUGGUUUACUCCCAUCUUAAAAGACAUGGGUCACUCAACUUUUCUUUGUUAGCCUUACGUACCUACAAUCCGAGUAACAUAAUAACAUUGGGGAAGUUACAAUGAUGUUUUUGGUUACAGUUGUGAAGUUGAAUCUGCAAAAAUUUGGGAUUGUAGCAAUAGGUUCUCUUCAUGGACCGAGACAUGAUUGACAGGAAGAUUGCUAUAAAUUAAUUUUGAUAUCAAUGUAGUUAAUAUCGUAUCCAUAGAUUUAUCGUUUUUGUUUUGGUACCAUUAUAUAUCGAUACGGGCAUGUUUGAAUGUAUUGUUUCGAGUUUAUUGAUGUUUUUAAAUAUUUUUUCACAUAUAUAUAUAUGUUUAUAAUCUCGUUUUUAGUUUCUUAAUGAUUAUAUAUUAUUUUGAUAAAAAUAAAAUAUAUAUUAUAUAUACAUGCAAAUAUAUUCUCAAUUACAUCUAUAUAAAUAUAUUUAUAUGUAAAUAUAAAAUAUAAAAUUAUUAAUUAGAUUCAUCCUUAAAAAGAACUAUUAAAUAAAUUCAAUAAUUUAAUUUAAUGGCUUUUAAAAAUAUAAUUAUAGAAAAAUUAAUGUAGUUAAGAUUAAAAAUUUUAAAAGUAGAAUAAAAUUUAGAUAGAUAUUGGACAUUUUAACCGCACUAAAAAGAGAGGGAAACAAAACCCAACCCCAAAACCCUAACUUCCACAUUUCACAUGUCACAGAGCAGGGUGUCACUUUGUUUCUCUGCUCUCAUUUCUUCUUCCUUUUAAACCCCAAAUGAAAACAAAAAGACCCCAAGCAUUUUUUAGUCCAUGGAAUAACAUUUAAGCUCAAUUAAUUUGUUCUUCAAUCCCCUUCCUUCAAAACCCAUUGUUUUUUGCUAAUUUGUUCUUCCCGUGCUUGAUAUGGCGAGGUUUCUUCGAAAUAUUUCUCAUUUGAAACAUUCUUUCCAUGCUCCACAGGUUUUAAUGCUUACCCUUUUGUUUAUUUUCUUCGAUAAGAUCACACCCCUUUUGUUUUUUUUCAUGUUAAAAGUAUCUGAUUGUAUUUCACUGUGUUCAUGGAACUUCGAAUCUGUUCUUUUUUGCAGAUAUGUAGAGGAGGGGUAUUAGGGUCAUAUUCACAGCUAUGUAACUUUUCUUCUAAAGGUAUUGAAACUUCCAUUUCGAGCUUUUAAUUAGAAUGUUGAUACCCAAAUUAAUGUUGCAUGUGACUGUAGAAGAGUGUUUUUUUUCGUGGCAUUUUUUAUUAACUUAAUUCAUGUUUGAAUGCUGUGAUGAUAUUUAAUUGAAAGAAGUCAAGUUUACCAUAGAGUAUGGUGGUUAAUUCAGGGUCCUUUCUGUAAAAAAAAGAAAAAGGAAGUUUGAUCUAAAUGAUGGAGCUCUUUAGUUAUUUUGCUUGAGUUGACUUUAUUUUGAGUUAAAAAAUAAUUAUGGUACUUACUUAAUGCAUGUACGCUUUGAAGGUAGGAGGAAAUCCAAGUCAGAUGGAAGUGAUUCUGGUGAGGAGAAUAUUUCGAAGAAAGAUUUAGCUCUAAAGCAAGCCCUGGAUCAGAUUACUAGUUCUUUUGGAAAAGGAUCUAUUAUGUGGCUUGGUCGUUCCGAGUCUCCUCGAAAUGUGCCAGUAGUUUCCACCGGUUCUUUUGCUUUGGAUGUAGCACUUGGUAUCGGUGGCCUUCCAAAGGUACCCCGCAAUUCUCGUUUUGUUUAUUCCCCCUUUUCCUGCUACUAAGUGAUAGCUGCCUAUGAUGUUUAUUAGUUCCUUAAACACCACUUUAUUGGACUAUUACAGGGCCGUGUUGUGGAGAUAUAUGGACCAGAGGCUUCUGGGAAAACAACACUCGCACUUCAUGUAAUUGCUGAAGCACAGAAACAAGGAGGUCAUUUAAUGUAGUUUAACUUAGUACUGUCUGAUUUAUGAUUUGUUACGACUUACGACAAACUUCUCAUUCAUAUGACAUUCAUUAUUCAUAAACAAUUCUCUUAUGCUUUGAUGAUUAAAACUGAUAGUAGGAAGCUACGGCUAGACCUCUUGUUACUUUCCAAUAUCAUUAUGUGAGUUUUGUAUGGAGCGAUUUGACAUUCUUAUAUUUAUAAGGUGAUUACAUUUGGAGGGUGGAGGAGUUUUUGUUGUGACUACUGUUCUGUUGAUGUUGUUGCCGAUAUCUCUGUGCUGGAUGCUUACAUGUUUCUAGAAUCUUAUAAUAUGCAGGUUAUUGUGUUUUUGUCGAUGCGGAGCAUGCUCUUGAUCCAGCUCUAGCUGAGACAAUUGGAGUAAACACUGAGAAUUUACUUCUUUCGCAACCAGAUUGUGGAGAACAAGCUCUCAGUCUUGUAGACACCCUUAUACGGAGUGGAUCUGUUGAUGUUGUUGUUGUUGACAGUGUAAGGUGUUUUCGGAUUUAUUUCUUUUUCCAUUAUGGAGUCUGGUCUAAUAAAUACUGCUGUUAGCUGGUAGAACAUGCUGUGAGGAGGAUUUUUUGUAAUAAUUGUUUUUUUGUGCCAAAUCAAUUGGAAUAGUCAUUGUUGAAGGGUUGAAUUCUAUAGUUUUUUUCUAUGUUAUAUUCUGAUUUUCUUAUAUUUAUUUGGAAGUGAGUCCUGAAAUAAUUUUGUUUUCAUGCCAGGUAGCUGCUCUAGUGCCUAAAGGUGAGCUUGAUGGUGAGAUGGGUGAUGCUCAUAUGGCAAUGCAAGCUAGACUGAUGAGCCAGGCUCUCCGUAAAUUGAGUCAUUCCCUAUCAUUGUCACAAACCAUAUUGAUUUUUAUAAAUCAGGUAUACGAUUUAUAUCCUGAGUAUGCCCUUGAUAAGUUUUGUUGAUAAACUUAAUAUUAGCAUGAUAGUUCUCUAAAGCUUCAAUUUGUUAAAAUGCGCAACUUUUUUGCUUUGAGGUGGUUUAAUCAAAGAUUAAGAUUAUACUCCAUGUCAUUGACAUCGAGAGUUUUGCCCAUUGGCAAACUUUUUGCUCCUUUUUUUAAAGCUUCUAGUCAGACUGAUAGAAUGUUCCUAGCUGAACUGUUGCCCCCAAUUCUGGUCAGGCGUGGAGUUCUUGCAAGAUUCUAGGUUUGCAAUACCAAAUGAAUCAUGGAAAUUUCAUGCUUUUAUAUAAGAAAUUAACUUUUUUACUUUUAUCAGGUGAGGUCAAAACUUUCAACUUUUGGAUUUGGUGGGCCAACCGAAGUUACAUGCGGUGGUAAUGCCUUAAAGUUCUAUGCUUCAGUUCGUCUAAAUAUUCGGAGAACUGGGUUGGUCAAGAAAGGAGAAGAGGUACCAAGCUGUAUCCUUUCUUUCCUUGCAUGAAUUGAUUUUGGAUGUAGCAGUUUAAGAAAGUCUCUGAUCUUAUAAUUCACCUAAAAUUUUCUUAGGUGCAGUGAUUUGAUUAUUUUCCUUUAUCUUGGUUGAAUCUCUGUUGAGCAACACAUUAAAAUUUCCUUUCAAUGCUCUUAAUCUCUGUUGAGCAACUCACUAAAAUUUCCUUUCAAUGUUCUUACAUUCCCAAGAAAGUUAAACAUGCAGUUAUAUUGUUUUUGCUCAAAUCUACAGGCUGGCUAAUAUAAUUUUGAAAGGCUUAAAUUCUUUAAUCAAUCUUCACUAUUUACUGCCUUGCAUAUCCAGUUUUGAGUGCAAAAGACUUGUCAUGAAGAUUAGGAAAUUAUAAAAUAUCCAAAUCUCGAUAAUUCUCUUUGACAGUCGAACAAAUUUGCUAUAUUUUUCCAUGUAUCAUAGUGUUUAUUGAUGUUUCUAUGAUCUUUAGACUAUUGGAAGUCAAGUUCUCGUGAAGGUUGUGAAGAACAAACACGCUCCGCCAUUUAAGAAUGCUGAAUUCGAGCUUGAGUUUGGAAAGGGAAUCUGCCGGGAAGGGGAGAUCAUAAAUUUGGCAACGAAACACAAAUUUGUUACAAAGGCUGGCUCAUUCUACACUUUCAAUGACCAGAAAAUCCAUGGCAAGGAAGCCUUCAAAAACUUUUUGGUUGAAAACGAAAGUGCACGGGAAGAACUUGCUACGAAACUUAGAGAAAAGCUACUUGAACCUGAGAACAAAAAGGAACGGCAGGGUGAUAUCUCUGAUGGGGAUGCAUCAGAAGAAAUAAUUUCAACUGAUACUACCGAUGAAGAAGCUGUUACUGCCAUUGAAGCUUAAGUAUGCAUGUGACUCGGAACGAAACCCCCUUUGUUCCCCUUACAGGUUCAUUCCUUUGCUGAUUGAAUUUUUCAGUGGACAUGAUGACUGAAGGAUUUGAAGGUUCUUCGAUUCACAGUAAACAUUCAACCUUUUGCCAUACGAAUAGACAGCAUUGUAAGGUAAAGUUUGUUAAGUUGUAUUUGUUUUGUACAUGUAUGGUCUAGUGGGGUUUGAAUGUUUUUGUGGUUCAAUAGGUUGAAAAAUUACUUGCUCUUCAUUGGACUCUCCAACUUCUCUACUGUCAUAUGUCCAGCCCUAUUCAACAUGUUAUUGAGGCCAAAUAUAUGUUAUAUAUAGUAGUAUUUAUUUAUAUACUGUGGUAACUUUGUCUCUCUGGGGUUUGAAUGUUAGAAUCUGCCAUCAUCCUCCUACUUCCUCUAUACCAAAAAGAAAAAAAUAGGGCUUAUUUGGAUAAAAUAAAGUAAAUGGUUCAUUUUAAGAAAAGGUAAUAGUUUUUAAUAUUUUGGUCAGGAUGUUAGGAAUAUAUAAAAGAGAACAAAUAUUGAUAUUCAAAAUUGAAAUUAUUGAAUACACUCUUUUGAAAUAAAAUUGUGUGAAAAUUAAGUUUUGUUGUUUAUGUCACUUAGGCAUUGCUUGGUAUGGUAAAGUGGGAAGAAAAUUAGAAAGACAUGGAAAAUAUAAGAGUAUGGUUGGUUUUAUAUAUAUCUGUUUAUGAGUUGAGUUAUCUUAUGAAGUUUAAAUGUCUUUUUGAAAUCUGAAAGAGGUUGAGUAAAAAUAUUAGGUCUGAAAAAUGAUUUGGAUAAAUAAAUUAGGUCCGUUUAAAAUAUGACUUGAGUUUGAAUAUUUAAGGUUUGAGUUUAGUCCCUUUUAAGUUUAUAAUAUUUUAUAUUAUGUAAUUUAUAAUAUAUUAAUAAAAUAAAUUUAUAUUAAAUAUAUAAUAUUAUUUUAAUGUAAAUAUUAAAAUAAUAUUAAGAUGAUUAUAUAAAAAAUUUUAAUAAAUAAAAAAAUAUUAAAUUAUUAAAUAUUAAAAUAAAAUAAAAUAAAUAUUUGUUAAAAAAUUUAAAAAUAAUAUUAAGGCUUGGAUUACAUUUUUACAAAUAUGAAUAGGUUUGGAUAAAAUUUUAAGUUCAGGUUUUGGUCUGAAUCGGGUUUGAAUAAGCAUAAAGUAUGUUAAUAUUAUUUUUAAAUUCGAUUCGGCUCAUGAGCAACUCUAAUUUUAGACAAUAUUUUUUUUCAUUAUUGAACGUUAUAAGGGUAUGUUUAAUUUAUUUAAUUUUUAUUAUUAAAUAGAUAAGCACUAACUAAAACAGUUGGAGUUAGUGUGGAAUCGAUUUAAUUGAUUAACAAUAUUAAAGAUUAAAAAUUCUUUGUGAUGGCUUGAUGAUUAAUAGUGUUUAUUGUCCCAAGUGUGGCCUAAAUUUGAAUCGCGAUUGUUGUUUGGACUCUAAAACAAGCUUUUUUUUUUAUUAAUUAAUGAAAAAGUGUAAAAAGAAUAAGGGGGAGGGAGCAGCCAUGUUUCCUGGUUUUGAGUUCAUUUUGAAAGAAUAAAGAUUUCCUUUUUCUAGAUAUAGGGUAUGGGUUGUUCUGAUUAAUGAUUGAAUUUAAUAUUAAUGUGUUAUUAUUAUUAUUUUACCAGUGAAUUAAUCAACAAAUAAAAAAAAUCAAUUAAUGAAGUUAAAGAAAAUAUUAUAAUGUAUCAAAUACAAGCUCUUAAAUUAAUAUUAUAUUUUUUAAUUAAGUAAUGAGAAUUUUAGAAAACCCUAACACUAAAUUUCUAAUCCUAGCAGCCAUGAUAAAGGGACAAUGUUGUUAAUUGAUAUGCCUUGAAUAUUGGAGGCAAUCUUGUCCUGCCUACCAUGUACACCAAUCAUAUAUACCCUUUAAUUUUUGUUCAUUUUGGUCCUUAUUGGACAUGUUAAUUUGUUAAGCAUUUGAUCCCAUUCUUUUUUGCUUAGUGUAGUAUGAACUGAAUUGUGAUUCUUUCUUUCCACUUUUUUUUUUCAAUCAUAAUAUUCUUUCAUUUUUUUUGUGAGGAUUGGAUAAGAUAUACAUAUUUUCUUGAUAAUAUUCUUUUUUCUUCCUUUUUUUUAACUCGAUUGGCAUGAAUAUUAUUGUCAAUACAGGAGAAUAUGGGUUCGAGUACGCUGAAGCGUAUUAUCCUCCUUUUUAUCGGUUGAGGAGGGACUAUGAGUUUUUUUAAGCAUUAUAUUGUGUAAAAAGGAACAGAUAUGAUCAAAACCUAUAAUAAGAUUAUUAAAAAAAAUUAACAUCAAUUGACUUAAAACAUUACUUUCAACAAGUAAUUUAAUAAUAAAAGUGUAUAUAAGUAUAUUUUUAAAAAAAAUUAAAGUAAAUAAAUAAAUGAAAUACAUGAAAAUUUUUUGAUUUCACACCGCUAUUGUAUUAAAGAAUAAUCCUACCAACCUUAUCAUUUCAAAUGUAGGUAUAGUGGCUAUUUUCAAUUAAGAUCCACAAUCAUCCAAUAAACUUAUUCUAAUUAAACAUUGAAAAAGGUUUAAGAAUAUGGAAUAUUAUACUUCAUACCAAGAGGGCCAUUAGAUCCACAUAAACCCAACCAAACUAAUUAAUAAAAUGGUGAGAAAAACCCUAAAAAAAUUAUGUUUUAAAAUAAGGGAUUGUUAUAUCAUGUGUAGCUAGCCUCACUGAUGUUAUAGUGCAUUCAUAGAGAGUUAAACACGUGUCCCUCAAUGAGACCAACUAUAUUGCGAACUUGGGGUUCACGAACCUAAACUUAAUAAUUUUUAAAAAGGGACAACUUCGCUAAAAUUAUGUGAAAGCUAUGUGAAGGUCUAGAGAAAUUGAUUGCUAGUUACCCUAAAAUGUCUCAUCUUAAAAUGUAGUAUCAUCAUCAUCGCUAAGGGUUUUCAAGCUUGUCCCCACUGUAGAAGGGUCAUGCAAAUAGCUUAUACACAUUCACAUAGACAUUCCUUCUUCUUGAUUUCUUGAGUCUUUAAAAAGUUAAAACCCUUCCCAGCCUUUGCUUCAUUCUCCUCUAUUCUACUACCAUCUUCUUCACCUUGUUUACCUCACUGGUUAAUAGAGAUAAAUAUUAAAAUUAUACAUGAAUUUUUAUUUAAUGUGUAAUGUUAUACAUGAACUUUGAUUUUGUGUAAUUUUUAUAAAUGAAAUUUUAAUUUGAUUCAGUUUUAACAAACCACUAAUAACAUUAUCAACUUGUACGUUUAUAUAUUGCAUUCAUGAAUGAUUAUAUUAAGAUCCAAUAUAAAAACAAACUAUUGUAUUUAUUAUUUUUAAAAGGUGUACAACCGAAUCAAAAUCAAAUUUUUAUGUGUAUGUCUGGAUUGCAAUCAAAUUUUUAUGUGUAUCAUUAUACCAAAUCAAAAUUCAUGUAUUAAAUUACAUAUUAAAUCAAAUUUUAUAUAUAAUUUUAUUACGUGAAGAGUGGAUAAUUUUUUAAACACAAGUAAAAAUUAAAAAAAAUACAUAUAAAAAUAACAUUCUAUGUAAAAAAAAUUUAAUAAUUUUCAUUACAUGGGUAAAAUUUUCUUGAAAAAAAAACCCUUAAAGAAUACAUGGAAAAAAAAGUUACCCUAACAAACCAUGAAAAGAUUAGACAUAGUAAUUAUUUUUUCCUCCUAAUUAAUAACCCUAAAAAAUACAAAAAAAAAAUUAGGAUUUAAUUAUUAUUGAAAAUUCUCUGGCCUGGUGACAAUAACAUUCUUGGAUCAAAUUGAUAUUUUCUGUGUUGAAAAACCUUCCAUUUUGAGCCAAAAUGAUGAACCCAUUCUUCUUUAGUACUGUAAUGAGGAAGGUAUUGCUUAAGCAUAAUUCCAGUUUUAUUACAAAACCUCAUUAUGUCUUUAUUUUGGUCUUCAAAAGCUUUCCAAGUAUCAAAUCCACUUGAAUGUAAAAAACCCACUGUGUAGAAUAUUUCUUCAUCUGGUAUUACAGCUGACAUCCUAUCAUCCCACCUGCCAUUAAUUCAAACAUUCAAAUUGUUCAUUAUUUUAUGCUUUAUAUAUAAAAUUCAUGAUGAUCAAGUUUUUGGUUAAAAAAAUUUUAUUUACUUAAAUUAGUCAUCGUAUCAAUUAAGUCUUUCUUGUAGUUUAAUUUUCAAUUUUAAUAUUAAACGACCGUUCAUAUUUUACAUGGAUAAUAUUUAAAAUACAUGGAUUAAAUUGUAAAUAAGUGUAUACAUACAUUAUGAAUAAAUUAGAUUUGACGUGUUAAAUUAAUGAAAUAAUUUUCCUUCUUUAAUAUGUUAGAUCUAAAUUGUCAAUAUGGUAGGUACACACAUAGGGGUGAAAGAAGAGUAGUGCCUUGGCAUCCUAAAAUGGAAAAAUUAUGUUUUAAACCGUUUAAAAUUUAUAAAAUUAUAGAUUAAUGUAUGAAAAAUUGUAAUUUAACUUCUAAAAAGAUGAAAUUUUGAUUUAAUCCUAAAAACUAUAAAAAUAUAAUCUAAUACAAGGGUGAAAUUGCAUUUUUAGAUUUCAUAAAAAAAUAUUAUAACUUAAUAAUUUCGACCCUCCACAAAAAAAAAAAAUUCCGGCUUCGCCUCCGUACACAACAUACUCAAACAACAUUUAAUGCUUAAAUUGAAAACUAAGCUGACUUGAACUCCUCAAUCAGAUGUGGACCAAUUUAGAAUAUAGGUGAUAGUUCGAGGCAUUUAAUCAAAAUAGCCCAAAAAGAAAUACUUACUUUUGUCUGUUCAUAGGAUAAACGAGGACAGGUCCUGUAGUAAUAUUCCGUUCAAGAACAAUGCCUCUAAAAACACCAUUGUUGAAAUCCGAUAUCUGAGAUUUAGGUAUAAAAAGAUUCAACCAUGGAUGUGGAACAUCCCAUAAUCCUUGUGAUUUAAGCUUCAGUUCCCCACUUCGAACCCUAUUCAAAAACUCUUCAUACCCAACGUCUUUUCCAAAUAUAAAUCCAGGCAUGUAAUUCAUACCUUGCAGAACCUGUUCCAUCUCCUGCAAUAAUAAUAAAAAAACAUACAAAAUCAAUAUGAUAUGCACUACUUAUAAUUUUACGACACCGACAAAUUCGACCAUUAUUUUUAGUUUACCUUGUCGACUGUGUGUUUUGUUCGAUCAUCGUAAUGCUUAACGAUUUCAAGGCAGUAUAUGAUUCCAUGCUUGGUUAUCAAUGAGAUUAUUUUGGGAUGAUCUUUAUAUGGAAAAAAGGACGAUCUCCAGUUAUCUGGUGAGCCUUGAUCCAUAAGCAAUGAACCUUCUAAAUAAUCCAAUGCACUUUUAUCUUUUCUUCCAUUUUUUGAGAUUAAAAGCUCUUGAUCUUUGGUGAAUGAUGAAAAAUCAUCGUACAGUAGUCGAACCCAUUUUACCUGUUUAAAAAUAAUUAAAUCAACCAAUUAUUUAAGUCCACAAUCUUAAUAAACAUGAUAAUUUGUAACAAUAUUUACCAUAAAAGUACAAUAAAAGUUUUCGUGUUAAGAAUCAAAUUACUUUUUAUCUCCUCUAUAUUAAAGAGCAAAUUAAUUAUUUCAAUUAAAAUUUUCAUUCUUCUCGUACUAUAAUAUGCACGGACCAAUUUUUAACCAUAUAAAAAUUUUAUUGGAAAGAGACUAAUUUUUUUAUUCUUUGAGCUAGUUAAAAAACCUAAUAUUUACCCUUUUCGGUGCUGGUUGAAGUGGAAUUCUUGCUCUGGUUAUUAUUCCAAAUUGUCCUAAACCUCCAAGAACAGCAUAAAAAAGCUCUGAAUUCAUCCUCGGCGAGCAUGUCAAAAAAUCGGCUUUCCCUGAAUUUAAAAAUAAAAUUUGCUCGUAAAUAACUGCAUGCAUGCAUGAUGCAACCAACAUACAAUAUUAUAUAAAUGAUGAUGAUGAUGAUGGUGAUGAUGAUCACCGUUUGAACUUUUGUCCUAUGGGGUUUCCUAGUGGGGACCCUAGAACGAAUACAUUUAUAGAAAAUUAUUUCAAUAGGUUGGCAUGAAAUGGACUGCCAUUUAAAAUUAAAUGUACAUAUGAUCAACCGUCAGGCACCAGCUAAGAAAUGUAUAAAAGUAUUAUAGAAUGUAUUUUAUUUAUUUUAUUUAAAAUUUUUAUAAAUUAGACUAAAAAUAAAUUGACUUUUUUUUUUGUUAAAAAUUUCAUUUAAUUUUACUGUUAAAAAUUAAAGUAACUAAAAAUAACUAAAUAAUUACGCGUGUCAUGUCACAUGUACUUUAAUUUAAUGUAUAGAGUCGUUUUUUUAUCUAAUAUAUAUAAAUUAAUCUAUUUAUUUUUUGAAUGAUUCGAUUCUUAUUAUAAUGUUGUAUAUGGUAAUUUUACCCAAAGAAUGCUGAAAAAUGAGUUUAUUGUUCGAAUCUUUGUGAACAGGACAAAAGAAUAUUGAACCCAACUCGAGAUUAAAAAUUGAAAAAGAAUACGAAAUCAGAUACCUGUUAUAACAUCCAUUUCAAGAACAUUACUGAUCUGAGGACCGUAACGAAAAGUUUGUCCACUGAUUCCAGCAUUGGAGAGCGUUCCGCCGACGGUUAAGUACAAAUAAUCGGUCCAAGAAAUGGGUGCAAGUCCGUAUUCCAACGUCGCAUUCAACACGUCGAUCCAAAGCUGUUCGCCGCCGACAUCGGCGUAAAGCCUGUCUAUCGAGACCCGGAUUCCGGUUCCGUUCCGACGUUUAUUCGCCAUCGAUCUCAUGUCCACCACGACCCCGUUUUCCGCCAUCGCUUGACCCCUGACAGAAUGACCGUGCCCUUUGGCUGCUAUACCAAAAGGAACUGAAUUGGAGUAGCUGAAUUUUAUGAGUGCAGCAAUGUCUUGUGGUGCUGAAGGGUGAAGAACUGCUUCGGGUUCGGCUUUUACGAUCCCGCCAAAGUCUCGAGAGGCUGAUUCGAUGGCAGAAGGGUCGACGGAGAGCUUGGUUGCAAGAUCAACGGCUCUGAUAUCCUUGUGAUGGACAUCUAACGGCUUUGAUAUCUUCAUGAUGGACAUCACACGGGUUAUAAUGAAUAUAGCUGUGAAAUAAGCUGGAAAUUGAAAACUCAUCACCAUUGUUUCUUUCUUUUUUCUUUUUGAAUUAAAGAGAAAAUGAAAAUUAAUGGAAAAAAAAUGUAAGCGAAAAGGGAAAGAAAAAAAGGCUAUGUCUUAGCUUAUUUUUCUAUGAGAUGUUCAAAGGGAGAAGAUGGUUAUAUAUAGUGCAUAGGAAAAUUUGCAUGGAAAUGAUAGAAGGUUAGAGCCGAAGGAAACGACGUCGUUGGCUAUCUGUAUUGUAUAUUUGUAUUGUUAAUCAGUAUCUAGUGCUAGUCAAAAUUAUAUUUAUAAAACAUUACGUAAUUAUUAUUUUUUUCUUAAAUUGAUUAAGAAUAAUGUAAAUUUUUUUAUAAAAAAACAAAAUCAAAUGAUUUUAAUUGACAAUUUGAGAAUCUAUUAUUAUUUAUUAUAAAUAAUAUAUAUAUCCAAAUAAUUAUAACUACUCAAAUUAUUAUAAGUCGAUUGAGUCUUAACUCAAUCGGUAUUAGUAUUGUUGUAAAUACAAAAGGAUAUAGAUUCAAAUAUGCUAAAACACAUUAUAAAAGAUAAAAUUACAGUUUGAAACAUUUAAAAAAUUGAGAAGAAAUUCUUCAAUUAGUAAAAAACUUCUAAAGUCGCUCAUGCUUUGUGUAUUUUAUUACUAUGAUUAUCACUACUAUGAUUAGUAUUAUUAUUAAUUAUCAUCAAAGAUUCCUCUGGCUAUAGCUAUAGCCAGGUAACCACUCACCCACAUGGAUUUUUAUUACUUGUGGGGGACCCAAAGCCGAGUUAUUUUCACCGUCCGAUCAUGAUCUUAUGGUCAAAAUUAGUCAAUAUUGGGUCAAUUUGGCUUCAGAUUCGAUAAAUUAUAUUGUUUAAAAUAUAUUAUUAUUUUAUACUCUUGCUAUUUUAGGAUGCAAGUUUGGUCAAAAUUAGGUAAUCAUCUAAAGCAUAUUCAAUUGCUUUUUAUUUUUAGGUUUUGAGGAAUUUUAUGAACUAAGGCAAUUUUUUUAAAAAAAGUUUCUUUUUUUUUUGUGAUUGGAUUAGAAAAUUUCCAACUUUCAAUUCCAGAUAUAUGAGGGUGGAACCAUUGAGAUAUAAAAUUUAACCUAUCAAAUUAUUUUAUUUUUAUUUUUAUUUUUAUAUUAAAUAUAAAAAUUUUUGUAUAAAUCAUGCCAAAACAUUUUCAUUUGAAUCAUCCCACAUAAUAUUUUUUUAAAAUAAAUAAUUUUAUAACUUAAUUAUUGCAUGUAAUGUGUGAUAUAUAAUUAAAAUUUCUUUAAAAACUUGAAUAAAUUUACAAAAAAAAGUUUUCUUUAAGAAAACACUAAUUAAUUAACAAUUCCCAUUUUGUUUUAAAGCUGAAUUAAAAAAAUUAUCCUACUAAUUAUCAAACUCUUUUUGAAUUAAUUAAUGAAGUUUCAAACUUUCAAAAAGACUUUGGAGAACAAAAUUAAUUAAGUUUAAUUAUAGGAUCUAAACUUAUCUCAUAUAUAUAUAUAGACAUCAACUAUAUUAUCUAGGAAUAUUAAAAAAAGCAAUUUGCAUUCAACAAUAAAAUAUAACUAGAGGACAAGUAUCAUGCCAUGCACAAGGAAGAAAAUUACAUGUUUCCCUUUAUUAGUAAAGUAUUAUAGAGGCCCCUAUAUUUGAGAUUGGAUAGCAUUUUGUCGCCUCUAUUAAAAAAUGGGUAAAUUAGUCUCUAUAUGUUAGAUCAAAGAGCAAAAUGGUUAUUUAUUACUACCGUUAAAAAUCGAUCAUUGUACGUCAAUAUGAGGUACAUGUGGCAUAUUAUAUGUUAUUGUCUUUUUAAUAGUAUAAAAUAAAUAAAAUUUUUAACAGAAAUGACCAAUUAGUAAUUAAUUUAACCAUAUUUUUUUAGUAGACAAUAAUUUCAUCAAUUAGAUUUAAUAUUUAAUUCAACAAUUAUAUACAAAUAUUAAAAAUAAUAAUCCAAGCAUCUAUAAUAUUUUUUAUAAAAAAAAUAAAUUAUAUUGAAAUUGUAUAAUGAUAUAAAUUAUGUCCUAGAUACGGUUGGAAUUCAAGUAUUUAGACUAAAAAAAAGAACAUAAAUUCAAAAGGAAAAUCUUUGACCUAAAGAUCUGAUAGGUAUAAAGACCUGUCAGAUAGGAGACCCUUCAACAAUUUCCAUGCACCUAUAUAGCUUGUAUUAAUCUUAAAAUGUAGUUAAGAAUAUAAUGUUUAACAUUCAUGUGCAACAUGCAAUUGUCUAAAAUAUUAAGAAACAUGACAAAUCAAAUGUAAGAAAGAUCAAUGUCCGAUGGGAACAUCAAGAAACUGUAUAUGCUGAUAACAACUAAGCAUGCCAUACUCACAUGGCAAAACAGUGAUAGUUAGGUCUCUUUAUACCUAAUAUCAUACAGUGAAAACAAUGGUGCCUCCACAUAAUUGGGAUGCAUAAAAACGAAAUUGAAUUAUAAAUUUUUUAAAGGUUAAUUUGAGAUUUUAUUAUUUAAUUGAAUCAUAAUUUUAAUUUUUGAGACUAAAUUUUUUUUCCUGUCUCUAUCCGCUUUAAAAUUUUGAAAUAAUUAUUAAUUCAUGAAUUAUAAUUAAAUUACACUUAUCUUCAAAUUACAAUUUUUUAUUAUAUGGGGUAAAAAGUUAGCCAAAAGUUAAAAUUUUUCACCAUCCAUAUAUAUCAAAUCAUCAUGGCCAUUCUUGAUAUUUUUGAGGCUUUAGACAAAUAAUAAAUUAGAUGUCUUUUAAAAGAAGUUAUAAAAUAUAAUACGAUAAAAGUUGAAAACUUUUGGGGUCCUAAAUUUUUUUCCCAUAUUAAAAAUUGAAAAAAUAUUUUAUUUUUAGCCUCUUCUAGCCUUACACUUUGGACAUCUGCACUCUCAAACAACCCCAAAGCUGGGCCUACAAAUUAUUAUUAUUAUUAUUAUUAUACAUGUAAAAUCAUUUGAAUUUAAUUUGUUUUUUCUUUUAUACCAAAAAAAAAAGUGAGGUAGUGAAUUUUCCUAAUCAUGAAUGUGAAAUUCAAAACAUUAUGAAAAGUGGGGCAAAGGGGAGAAUUCAUAUAUAUUCUUUUAAAUGAGUUGUUCUAUAGGUGUCAAUAUAAUAAUCCUAUAUAUAUUUACCAUGUGCUUUUAACCUAUAUUUAAAUUAUUAAAAUCAACUAAAGAAAAAACAUCAUUAUUUCUUAAUCCUGCUUAUAGGAUUAAAAGGUUUUUGAUAAUAUUUACGGGAAAAGUUUGUAUGAAAUAAAAAUAUUAUCAUUUUCUAAUAGUUCAAUGCCCUAUUAAUAUUUUCAUUUUAAAUUUUAAGAUUUUCAUUAUCUUGAAAAUUUUGUAAGGACAUAAUAGAGAAAAGAGGGAAGACAUAAUAAGAUACUGAAUAUAUUUUUUGAGAUCAAAAUCACUCUACAAGAUCACAUGGUCCUAAAAUGAAAAUCGAAAAUCAAUUCGAAUCGUCAUAAAUUAUAUAAUAAAAAAGGCAAUAACUUUGCACGGCCAAAAUCUAUGUCCACUGUGAUCCCUUAUCACGUACAGCAAUCAUAUCUAAACUCAUACGUGCAUGAAAAAUGAAAUGAAGUACAAAUAAUUAAAGCACGUUUCUUAAUUACGCAGCAUAUGAAUUUGUUCUUUAAUUUGCCAAAAUAAAGUUGGCUCAUCAUGUGAAGAGUGUAAGGAAUAUCUUUUCGAUUGAUUUGAACUUAACCAUAUUUCUCUUUCACCAGUUCCCAUAAUUGACAGCUAUAAACUGUGUUACAUCGAAUUAUAUGUUUGAUAUGAAUAUAUUUAAUCUUUUUAUAAAUAUUAUAAUGUAUUUAAUUAAUUUUAAAAAACAAUAUUUUUAUAUUUAUAAUUGAAUAUGUAUGGGAUACAAAUAUCGAGCAUGGUGAAGAAGAUUUGCUGUCAUGCCCGUGGGUGGAAGGUACUUAUUGGAGCACCUAAGGUAAAAGGAAAAAAGUUUGACCAAACGAUCCCACUUGCAAAUGCAACUUGCUAUAGGUGCUUUUGGCUGCCUAUUAGGGUGUUUUACAGCACAAAUUUUCAGCAGAUAAGCUAGAAUAUACAUCCUAGAAUAGUAGGAGCCAUUGGGUCAAUAGGGCUCAGAUUAUUCUAAAUUUAGAUAAAUUUUAGAUUUGAUUCGUUUUGAGUUUUAAGUUCUUUUAAAUUUAAGUUUUUAUUAUAUUAUAUUGAUUCGAAUGAAUAUGAUAUCAAUUAAUGCGUUAAUUACAAUCAAUUUGAUAGGAAUAGAUUUAAAGGAAAUGAGUUAUGUCAACGAAAAUAAAAGAACAGUAUUAAUUUAUUGUUAUACCUACGCUUCGCGAAUUUACCUUUUGUAGUACACCUUCCAUUACAUAAGCCCACAACAACGCAAGCAUGCACUAUGGGGAUCACAUCGGAUAGAUGAGAGAUAUUUGUAGAUUAUAUCUACUAUUGUUUUGUCAAGGCAACUCAUAUUUAGAGGUGAGCAAAAUUCGAUUUGAUUCGAAAAACUCGAUAAAAAAUUUAAAUUUUAAAUUAAAUAGUUCGAAUUUUUGAAUUAAUCAACUUAUUCGGAUCAAUUCGAAUAAAAAAUUAAGUUUUUCGGUUUGACUCAAAUAUGAAUUACACAAUUCAAGUUAUCCGAAAAUCCGAAUAAAAAAAGACAAAACUACGUUGUUUUGAUAAAUGUUUACUUUUUUAAAAAGUUAAAAUUUAAAAUAAUUAAAUUAAAAGAUAAAAAUACGUCAUUUUGAUAAAUGUUAACCCAUUAAGUUUCAUUAUAUUAUUCAUGUAGUUAAAUAAUCUUAUACUUCGUUUACUAAUUAAAUAAUCGACCCAUCUAAACGCAACAUUAAGUAUAAAUAAUAGAAUUCAUUAACUUGACUCGAUUUGACUUGAAAUUUUUUGCCUCGAUUCGAUUCAAUUCGAAAAAAAUUAAAAUUGAGUUCAGUUACUAAAAUAGGAUUUGUCAACUCGACUAACUCAAAAUUUUUUGACUCGAUUCAACUCGACUCGAUCGAAUACUCACCCUACUCAUAUCUAAAAGAAAAUGAUAUCUAUAUAUCGAUUAGAACCAGCAUGUAAUACGCGCCUAUUAUAAGACCCUUUUAAGGUCAAGAAUUCAAGAUAUCGCUCCAACUCUCUCUUCCAAACACUAAUAACAUCUCCUACAAUUAUCUCACCGAGUGAACCAUCAUCAACCACCAUAAUUCUUACUUAAUAUCAACAUAUAUUAUAUUUAUAUAUGAUCCCGAAUGAACCAUCUACCAUUAUUAAAUAUAUAUAUUGCUUGUGAUGUAUAAAUUUUUGCAGUGGCCUGCAACUUCAAAAGAAUCAAUCUCAUAUUCCGAGUACGUAUCUGCAAAUAUCAGAUACGUUUGAAUGAUGAUAGUCCAAUAUUAUAAUAUGAAACCAAAGUUGUGUUUGUACGAAUUUUGGGUCCCAGUUGCAGUCCAAAUUGGUACCAAAAAGAUUAAGAUUUGGAUACUCUCUCACAGCAUCAUCAUCCUCCCAUCUUUUGUUACCUCAAUCAAUCAUGCUAUCCGUACUCCAUUGAUGCCUUCCUACCACAACAGAAUCUGUGAAGUUCAUCUCUUGUAACAGAUUAUGUCUUCUUUUUUUCCUUUUUACCCCCAGAGUUUUUGCGUGCCAUUGUACUUGUAUUUUGUUCUUUAGUCACCAUUGCUAUGCCAUUGUUUUAAAGACAAUACUCGUUUAAUAAAUGGUUAAACAUGUUUCGAUUAUAUCUUUUUUAAUCACCAAAGAUGAUGUGAUAGUUUUUAAAAUUGGUAUAAUAAUAAUUUUAGUCUUUAAUAUUUAUAUAUUGUGCCAAUUUAGUUUUGAAUUUAAAAAAAUUAACCAACAUUGAGGCCUAAACUUCUUUUCAAUCUAAGUUAAUCCCUGGACCUAAAGUUCAAGCUCUAAUGUAGAAACAAUUGUUAAGUUCAGAUCCCAAUACAAGAAUAAUUGCUAAGUUUAAGGACUAACUUGGAUAAAAAAAUUCAAGCCCUUAAUCUUAAACAUUUAAUAUUACCAUUUUAAUAAAAAAAUAUUUAUUUAUUAUAUAACUUUUAAUGUGUCAUAAUCUAAACAUGUGAAUUUAUAGGAACCUAUAUAUUAUAUUCUCUUCUCUUCUAUUUAAUUUCAAGCAUAAAAGAAAACGUGACACCUAUAUAUUGAUAUAUUCUUUAGGUCGGGUUAUUUAUGCAGCAUCUUUUACUCGUUUGCUUUUAUUUAUAUAUAAAUAUAUUUGGUAAAACUAUAAUGAAAGUCCUUGUAUUAAGAAUCAGAUAGCAUUUUACCCUAUUUACUUAAAAAAAAUAGAUAAAUCAAUCUUUGUACAUAAAAUCAAAUAGCAAAUUGGUCCUUUUGUUACAAGUUUCAUCAAUUUCUACUGUUAAUUGAUGGCAUGCCAUUGUUUGAUUGCUUGAAUUAGUCCAUCCACAUAAAAAAUUCCAUGAAUUUCAUAGUAUAUUAAAAAUUUCAUCCAUUAUGCUUGAAUUAAUCCCUCCGCGCCAAUAUUUAACAGUAGAAACGGAUGAAUUUUUUAACAUAAUGACUAGUUUUCUCUUUGAUCUAAUGUGUAGAGUCUAAUUUACUCAUUUUUUGAGUAGAAAAGACAAAAUGCAAUCCAACUCCUAGUAUAGAGAUCUCCAUGGUCCAUUUACGAACAUAAUUUCAUAUGAUUAUUAUGUAUAAAUAUAUAGGUGUACAUACUUGAAAUGUUCCUCUAUUAUAGAGACCUGAUUAAAUUAGUCUCUCUAUUACUAAAUGGAUCAAUUUAGUCAUUAUACUAUUAAAAGGAAUCAAAUAAGGCCAAAUUAUAAUAAAGUUAUCAUUUACCGUUUAACAAAGUUAAUAAUUUUAAAGUUUUUAUGAAUCUUUUGUUAAUAAUUAAACUAUAAUUUAAAAAAAUAUUUUUUAUACUGCAAAUGUUAACUUUGUUACAAUUUAGACUUAUUUAAUUCUUUUUAAUAGUAUAGAGAUUAAAUUAAUCCAUUUAAUAAUAGAGUGAUUAAUUUGAUUCAAUUCCUAUAUCUAUAAUAGAACCUGAUGGUCCGACCUGACCCGAAGGGCUGUCCAAAAAGUGGGAGGGUUUGGAAAAAAAUAUAAGCCCGAAAAAUGAGCUUUGGCAAAAAAAACAAGGCCUAUUUUCUAAACGGUCCGAGCCUCGGGUAAGCUUUUUUUUUACCCUGGCUCAACCUGAAUUUGCAAAAAAAAACUUGCUACUGUUUUCACUGCUUUUGUUAUUUUUUUUUUCCUCGUUUUCUCCCCCCUGUUGUUCUAAAUUUUCGAUUAAUUUGUAUGACCAUCAAGGAACUUUUUUACUUAUUUCUUUUAUUCUAAUGGAUUUUUUUCUAAUUGUUUGAUUGUUGGGAUUAGUUAUAACUUUAUUGAAUAAAAAUUUCAAAAUUUUGACUCGAUCCUCAGAAUCGAUAUUUCCCUAUUCAUCUUCUGUUAAUUUCAAUAAAGAGAGUUUUUUUUUUCUAUUGCGAAUGAUUUUAUAUUGAGUGUAUCUAGUGUCUGUUCAAGUUUGUGAUAAUCAGUAGUAAAAAGUAGAGCAUAAAUUUUAUUUAUCUAAAACGGAUCUAUUUAUUUUUUAAAGUUUGAUUUAUGCUUAAAGGAGAAACCCAUUUUUUUUUAAAUGCAAUCUCUGACAGUGCUGUCAUUUUGGUAUCGUACAGAACAAACAAAUCUAAUCUGAUUCUCUCAAAAAAAUAAAUGUUAGGAUUUGACCCAACAAAUAUAUAUAUUUUCAAAGGACUGUCCCAAAUCAUUAUCCCUUCUUUUUUUUCUUCAACAAAUAAUUUUUUUUAAAAUUAUAUAAUAUUUACCACAUGUUACAUGGGCAAAUUUAUAAUAAAAAAACAGUGCCAUAUAAAGAAAAAUAACAACAAAAUUACAAGUAAAAGCAUCAUAUUCUUAUGACAAAAAAAAAAACCCCUUAAUUCUUGACAAAAUAGAAGAAAAAAUUCAAAGGAAAUAAAAAUUUUCAAAAGAUUCUUUCAAUGUGAUAGCCGCAGAUGUGACAGAGAAAAAGAAAAGAAAAUCAAAUGCCCAUUAUGAAAGACAAAAUUAAAAUAUAACUUAAAAAUAAUUAAUGCUCUCGUGGGACACCGUUGAUCUGUUGAAAAUUGCUUGAUUCAUAUAUGAAUUUUUUCUAAAAUUUAAAAUUGUGAAAAUAUUUUACUUAAUCGAUAUGUGUAUUGUUGCUAAUGUAGUAUAAUAUAGAUUCGAAUAUAUUGAAGUGCAUUAUUUUUUUAUUUAUAGGUUAAGAAAAGGCUAUGAAUAGUUCUAUUUAUUACGUCAAAAAGAACAGAUAUGAUCAGAACUUAUAAUGAAGUAUUUAAAAAAUUUUAUGAAAAUUUUUUAACGUGGAAUUUGUUAGUAACGAGUUUAUGGUGUUAAAGAAGAUGAUGGUUUGUGUCGAAAGUCACAAAAUUUUGUACUAAUUGGACUUUCAAAUUUUGUCCAAAGCUUCAUUAUUCUAAUGUACUCAAUAAAGCAAAACAAAAAUGAUUUAGAAGAAUCAGAUUUGAAAAUUUAGUCACACCUUAUUAGUUAUUACAUGAUGCCCCACGUUAUUUAAAUCAAUUUAGUUUUUUUUUUAAAAAAAGAAGACAUUUUUAGUUUAAAAUUUAAAAAAAAUUUCGAAUUUCAAAUUUAAUUUAUCAAAUAUCAUCGAUUCUUGAAAGUUAUAAUAUGAAAUUAUUGAACUAAUUAAGCCUCAAGUUCGAUUUUAUUUACCUUCAAUUCUUAUUACAUAUGGUUGCUGUUAUUAAUGAAAUGUAUGAUUUGAAUAUAAUAAAAAAACUCGAGUAACAAAUAAUGUUGAUAUUCGAAUUCCAAGCUGUAUCGUUUUCGUAUAUUUUAUCGUACUAUAAUAAUAUAUAUUAUAAAGUAGAGGAGGAUCUCUUCUGUAACUUUUUAUACAAUUAAAAUUUUAAUGAUUCAACUGUUCAAUAAUGAUUUACAUAUAAUAUUUUAGAUCGAUACGAGGGAGAUAUCAAAUUUAUUUAAAACUUUGCAUACAUGACAAGUAAAAUUAUAUCGAUAAAUUCAACAGUUGAACUGAUAUAAACGGGUCCCUUCCCUAAAAAAAUAAUAUUUAUAUAUAUUGAUACUUAAUAAUUUUUAUUAUAUAAAUUUUCAAAAGAUUUACAUACGUUUUUUUAAAGAGUACGGAUGAGCAGGACAAGAAUUCUAAAUGAGAUCAUCAAUGGGAGUGAGCAAUAUAGAAGAAAUAAAUGACGAAAUGCAUUACAUAUACAACCCAACCACUCAUGAUUCCAUAUCUACAUGAUCUUUGGAAUGAAAGAUAACAUGACGGUCCAACUAUCCACAUUAAUUAAUAUAUGGAGCAUUUCAACUCAUUUUCUUUAAUACAAAAUAUUAGAAAUGUUGCCGAUUGAAUCUUAACUCGAUUAAUAUUAAUAUUAUUACUAGUGCAGGAGAUCAUGGGUUCGAGUACGUUGAAGUACAUUAUCCUCCUAUUUAAAGGUCUGAAAAUAGCUAUGCCUAGUUCUAGACAUGGUAUCGAAAAGAGCAGAUAUGAUAAGAACUUAUAAUGGGAUUAAUGUUCAAAAUAUUACACCUGUUCGUAGGUCGGAUUUGUUUGACUUGUUUUAGGUUGAGUGCAGAUUUGUUUUCCUAAUUUUGAGUUGGCUUGAUUUAUUGUAAUCAUCCAAUUAUUGGUAAAUUUCAUUUUGGUCAUCCAAUUAGAAAAAAAAAUACAAAAUAGUCAACUAGUUGUUUGAUUUUGUCUUUUUUAGACACCAGCUAUUAAAAGGUGACAUAAAGUUAACAUGCAAACUUUUAUGGGUAUAUUCAGAAUAGAGAAUGACUAGAGAGGUCUUUUUACUGAAAUAAUUGAAAUAAACAAGAAAUCAAAAAUGAAAAAGGAGUACCAACAAGUGGUUGAGUACAAUGGUAAGACAUAUUACACUCUAAAAAAAAAUAUAGGUUUGACCAUUAAAGAUAAUAUUAUUAAAAAUAGCAGUUACAAAUAUCAAAUAUAAACCGUAAAACGAACUUGUAAAAGAAAAAGAAAAAAAAAAGCGUUUUGAAACACUUAAUAAGGGUCUUUUUACGUCUAGUCCUUGGUGUCUUAAAGGCUGGGAAAGCCCCGAGACUAACCAAUUAUAACGCCCACAUAGAACUUUUUAUGGGCCCAAGCCUCAAGGCAUACUAUAUUUACUUCAUAUAUAUGUACACAUAUUCUAAGAACUUAUCUGUACUAACUCGAUUAUGUGAUUUUGACUUGAUUAUUGUGAUUUUUUAAAAUUAUUUUUUAUUUAGAAAUUUUUUUGAAUAUGCUUUCAUAUUCAUGGGUGUUGCAUAUAAGAAUGUGUCCUACAUGCAAAAAGAAAAAAAAUUGCAAACUAGUUCAAUUUUAAUGACCGUUAAAUUUCAGGUUGUAAUAUCUUAUUAUGAAAUUUAUUUGUCCGUUAACUUGAUCAACCCAUUUAAUACAAAGAAAGCAAUUACGAGAGUCGACUUUCUCUCUUAUAUAUAUCUCGUCCCAUUUCUCUUUUCUUUCCACUAAAAUUCUUCCCAAUCUCUUCCAGAAAAAAACUUAUUAUUUUCUACAUGUUUUUUAGAAAAGAAUAGUCAUUUUAAAGCUUUAUGGAGAAUACAUAUAAAUCAUGUCGUAAAUAUAGUAAAAUUUUCAACUCAAUUUUUAUAAAACUUUUGCUAUAUUUGUAGAAUUUUUUUUAAAGAUUUUGAGGAAUUAAAUAUUACUUUUUGAGAUAUUUUGAACAACAAAAAGAUGGAGUUGUUUGUCCUCGAUAUAAUUUAGAAUCUUUGAAGGUUAAUGAGCGUAUCUUAGACCAUUUGAAGAGUGUUAGACUAUCAAGACCUACAAAAAUAAAAUCUACUUCUAAAUAUAAUAUUAGCAGAUAACGGCUAGUAGGGUCGUAUUCACAAUAAUAAUUUUACAGUAAAAGAAACAAGUAAAGUAAAUUUAGGGGUUUUGAAAAUUCAAAGGGAAAAACUUUAGCCAAAUGUAAAAUCUUUGUUUGAUUCAUAGAUUCAAUUAUCGACGCAAGGAUAUCUUCAAUGUCUUUAAUAAAUUAGUUCCAGUUACUAAUUCAAUGCCGAGCAACCAAUCUCUCAUUGCUUGUUCAGUAACUAAUAGGCAAUUCAUUUAAAAUUACUUCCUCAACCAAUAAAUAACCUUAUAACUCAAUGCCUAAUAUUUAACUUACUGACAACAUUAAAAACGAGAGACAUUUAAUUCUAACAAAAAAAACUCACUUCAAUGAGGUUUAUUUAAGCUAGACCAUACAUCAACACUACAUAAUUAUAAACUACAACAUAAACAAUUAUGUAAUUCAUCAUUAGUAUUAGAAUGAAUUAAACAAUUAUAGAUUUAAUUAUUAUAAUUGAUUUACUAUUUUAUGUUUAUAUAAUCAUAUACAAAUAAUUAUAUUAAUUCAAUAUAAAAAUAAUUUUAUUUUUUUAUUUUUUUAAAUAUAUAUAAAUAAUUAUAUUAAUCUAAUAUCUACAAUCUAAAAGUUUUUUUUUAGGAUGAAAAAUCCCAUUUAAUUCAAAAAAUUAGUUCUACAAUGGAGAAGUCCUUAUCGUAAUAGAAAACACCCCUAAUUCCUAUAAGUCCAUUGAUACGAGUAUAUAUAUGAGCUCGGUGGGUACAAGGAGGAUCCUAUCUAUUGUUGUUCUUGCUUAUUUUGUUUUUGCUAUCACAAGAUUUGCUGAUAUUUCUUAAGGAUUGUAUUUUUUUUUUCCAAACAAUACAUACUUCUAGACCUGUUCAUAUGUCGGGUUAUUUACCCAAACUUAAAGGUUUAUUCGAAAUUUGAGAAGGUUUAAGUAAAAAUAGUAGACCUGAAAAAUGGAUUUGGACAAGAAAAUUAGACCCAUUUAAAAUAUGGGUCGGGUUUAGGCUUAAACAUUCAAAGCUCAAGCUCGACCCAACCUAUUUUUAAGUUUAUAAUACUUUAUAUUAUGUUAUUUUUAUAUAUUAUAUAAUUUAGAAUACAUUAAAAAAUAAACAUAUAAAUAUAUAAUAAAAACCUUUAAAUAAUGUUAAGAUUACUAUAUAAAAAUUUUUAAUAAAUAAAAAAAUAUUAAAAUAUUAAAUAUUAAAAUAAUAUAAUAUAAAUAUUUUUAAAAAAAAUUAAAAAUAAUAUAGGCGGGCCUAAAAUGGACUUGAGUUGAUCUUUUGCAAAUAUGGACAAAUAUGGAUAAAAUUUUAAGCCUAUAUUUAGGGUUAGACCAAGUCAAGCUUGGGCAAGUAUAAAAUAUAUUAAUAUCAUGUAGGAAUGCUAUGGAUUGGGUCGGGCCUAAGCAUGAUAUUAAAAUGUUUUAUGUUUGCCCAAGCCUGGCCCGACCUAAAAUAUGAGCUUAAAAUUUUGCCCUAACCCAAGUCCAUUUUAAGCCCACUCAUAUUAUUUUUGAUUUUUUUUUAAAUAUUUUAAUAUUUGAUAAUUUUUUAUUUAUUGAAAUUUUUUAUAUAGUCAUCUUAACAUUAUUUAAUGUUUACAUUAGAGUAUUAUUGUAUAUUUAGUAUAAAUUUAUAUUUUCAUGCGUUCUAAAUUACAUAAUAUAUAAAAAUAACAUAAUAUAAAAUAUUAUAAACUUAAAAAUGGGUCUGGCCGGAUUCAGGCCUUAAAUAUUCAAGCUCGAGCUUAGCCCAUAUUUUAAAUGGGCCUAAUAUUUUUAUUCGAGUCCACUUUUGAGCAUAAUAUUUUUACCCAAACCCUCCUAAAUUGUAAGAGAGGGGCCUUCAAGCCUAAACGAGUUAUCCACCAUAAGCAAGUAUAAUAUUAUGCUUAAACUCAAAUAAAACUGACCCAUAAACACCUUUUCAUAUUUCCAUCUAUAAAUAUUCUAAAGGGAAAUAUAUACAUCAUGCUUCUGCAUAUUUGACAAAUAUAUAUAUCAUUGGUACAGUUUAAAUAUUAUUAUUUGCUGACACAAAUGGUUUAUUAUGUGUCUGUAAUUAUCGAUGUCAUUGUCUGAAACCAUGUCUGUGAUGUGAACUUUAUAGCUUUCAAGCUUUGGUUUUUUCUUUGUUACCAAAAACAAGUUGCCUAUUAAAUUUUUCUAUGAAAUUAAUUACGUAUUAAGAUUUAAAUUAUUGAAAUUGACAUUUAAAAAAUAUAUGACAUGAAAUAGUUGAUCUACAUCCACAACUGAUCACGUUCCAUACGAGACAAAUGCCACAACAACUAUUCCGUUGCCUAUGCACAUUAACAAUUAUUCCAUCGCUAUACAUUUUUUUUAGUAUAUAUAUUUUUAAUAAUAUAAAUUAUUAAAUUAGUCACUUUUGUUUUUCUUAAGUUACAUUUUAGUUGUUUACGUUUGAAAUGUUACGUUUUAGUUAUUUAUAUUAUCAUUUUGUUACUAAAUGAUCACUCUAUCGUUAAGAUCUAUUACCUUCUACACGGCAGUCUGACGUGACAGUUAAAGAGUUUUAAAUGCCACAUGUAUAUCCAGUUGGGAUGAGAAAAGUUGAAUUUUUUUAUGAAAAUAGAAUACAAAAUUUUGCCCAGUUGGGUAUUAUUUGUUACCAUAAGAGAAAAAAAAUGACAGAUAAGGAGAAGAAGAAAUGGACGCACCAACCUCUAUAAUUGAUUCCUAUUGUGGUUGCUUAACUAUGUUGAAAACUUUAUAGUCAAAUGAAAAUCUAUUUUAACUACCAAGUUGAAUUACCAUUUGAAAGGUAACAAAUAUUACGACAAAGUGGCCAUCUUGUAAUAUAACAACAAUGUAAGUAAUUAAAAUAUAUAAAUCGAAUGAUAUUGUAAUAUCAAAUCGAUAAAUAAUAUUUUAUGAUUCGAUUUUGUGAUUAUUUUUUAAAUGUAGGUUUACAUUACUUGCCAUUUGAGCACAUCCUGUGACGCAAAAUAGAAUCCAAUCUCUGCAACUUAAGUUGCUGCUUAAAUUUGUUAAUGAAAUCGUCAGCUUUAGCAUCAACACUAUGAUCUUCCUCUUCAAACGGCGUCGUCUCCUCCACUUCUUCCUCUUCUUUUUCCACCUUGCGCCUUGAUUUCUUCAUCUUCUCUGAUAAUUCCCUUUGUGUUACCGUAGGCUCUGAUUGGACUCUUUUUACUUCACCAUGAACCGGACCUAAACCCGUUUCUGAACCGUUCGAAUCAGUUCCAGUGAGUUCGGUUUCGUUUGGUUUAACCGAAUCCGGUUUGUAAAACGAUUUGACUCGCUCUAAGAGCGACGGUGCUCGGCUGAGUAGUGAUUUUUGAACCGGUUCAAUACAAUCCGUUUCUGGACUUUGAGGAGAAUAUGAAUAUCUGUAGAAGUUGAAGGACUUGACUCGUUCGAGAACCGACGGGGCUCGCUCCAGCCGAUAGGCUGCUGAGUCGUCAUCGAUGUCUGGGUUCGAAAGAGGAAACCUGUACGUCGAGAAGUUGAAAGACUUGAUGCGGCUGAGGAACGACGGAGGUCGGUGGAGUGACGGCGGUGGGGAUGAUGAAGAGUUGUAGUCGUCAGCGACGUAGGGCGUUUUGUGAGGACAGAGGCGGGAGAUGAGGAAGAUAGUGGCGAUGGUUAUGUUGAGGAAGAUGAAAAGAGAGGCCGGCGAUAACCAGGUCGCCGUUAAAUCUGACAUACCGGAAAACAUCAUGGUAAGGGGAAAGUAUAUUGCUGAGAAGACGAAAAAAAGGAAGUGAAAAUUUGGUGCUAGGCGCCUCGAAGUAGAAAAAUAAAUGUUGCUGCAUGGGCAUUUAAAAUCUUUAAAAUUUAAUUUAAUAUAAUAUCGACUUUUAAUUAUUAGGGUAAAUUUCACUAUUAGUCAUUAAAAUAUAGGUAAGUUUUAGUUUGGUCACUUAACUAAAAAAUGUUAUAAUUUGGUCAUUGAACUAUUCAUAGUUUUCAUUUAAGUCAUUAAGCUAUUAAAAUCGAUACUAAUGACUUUCUUUAUACGCAUUACCUACACCAAGAGUUCUCUUUCUCUUUCUCUUCUACAGUUCAGUUUUUUUUUCAUGAAACAACUUUGGACAUCAAGAAUUUGCGAGUCAAAAUUUAAACAGUUUUUUUUCGAUCUCUAAAUUGACCGUCAGAUCGACUUGGAUCUAAUAUAUGUUUCUCUACUCGUUGAUAGGUAUUGAUCCAUCAUACUUAUCUCUGAAUCAUCGCUUGAUGCUCGCUGACAAAACUUUUUCUUAAAAAAGAACUUAAUAGCCCAAUGAUUUAGUAACUAAAUUGUAACUUUUUUUUAAAUGACCAAAAUGAAAAUUUAACCAUAGUUUAAUCACUAAGAGUGUAGUUUACCCUUUAAUUUAAUAUAAUUUCUAAUCAUUAUUUGAAUUAUUCUUUUUGGUAUUAUGCUAGUGAGAACUUGAAGUAAUGACACUAUUUUUCAAAAAAUAUUUAAAAAUUCCAAGAAAUAAAUAAAUGGAAUAUAUCUCAUCAUCUUAAGUGUAGUUAAUAAUAAUUCUAUUGUUAUUGAUAUUAUAUGUUAAUUUAAAUCAUUAAUACAAUUAAAUUUUUUUAUUAAGACACAUUAUAUUUUUAAGAGGAGGAUUUUGAACAAUCAGCAACUAACAUUGACGAUAAAUUGAAAAGUAAAAAAGAUUAAAGCGCGAAGUUAAAUUAAUAUUUUAAAAUUACAAGAAAUAAUUAUUUUAACCAGAAAUUUGUGGAGACACAAAUUCCACGACAGAAUCUGCAAAACAAGCAAGUCAGCUUCCAUUGAUGAUGAGUACCCUAUCAAAGUUUCUUGGCCAAAAAACUCUUCUUUCGAUGAUUUGAUAGACCAACAUAGAAGGGUGGUCCUGAACACUAAGUAAAUGUACAGUCCUGAAAAUCGAAAAUAUCACCUGCAAAUUGACGACAACUAUGUGGAUCAAAACUUUCUUCAACAUUUGCUAUGAUGUUGUAGUCGCCAGCAAGUACCCAAGACUUGUCAGCCUGCAAAUAAACUAAAUGCUUCCAUAAUCUUCUUCUUGCAAUGCCCUCAUUCCUUCCAUAUAUAACAGUAAAAAACCUAUGCUUGAACACAUAAUUCACAAGUAAUACUUUGAUCUGUACUGAUAACAAAGCUCAAAGACAUGCUACACUGCCACAAAAUUAAUAUUCUAACAUUAUUAUCUUCAUUAUGAUUAAGCAAAAAAUGCCAACCCCGAUGAAUCUGCUGCAAAUUACUCUUUAUUCUAGUUUCCAUCAAACGUAUAACGUUUAGUUGAAGUUUGGUUGCCCUACUUACAAUACUUCUCUGUGGUCGUUCAUCCCCCUCACAUUCCAAACAAUCUUGGUUAUUCCAGUUGAAGGUAUCCCUAUGAUUCAACUUUUUCAAAAAAGGAAGAGACUGAAGAAGGAACUUAGGAAGUUUAAUAACAGUGUAUAUGGAGAUUAUGACCUAUUUCUUGUUGUACUGUGGUUCAUAAAUGUAAUACAAGAAUCCUGGUGGCUAGAUUGAAUAAGUUACUUAUUGAAUAAGUUACUUACCUAAAUCCAUGGCAAGAAAUCAGUCCACAUUCAUGAAAGGAAGACGUAUCUUAUGAUAAUAUCCUCCUUGCACAAGAACUUGUUCGAGGCUAUGGAAGGAAGUCAAUCUCUCCUCGAUGUGCUCUUAAAGUAGACUUGCAGAAGGCAAUUUGACUCAGUAAGUUGGGGCUUUCCCUUUGUUGUGGGGUAUCCUUCAACAUUUAUUGAGUGGAUAAGGGUAUGCAUUACAACUCCUAGAUUUUCUGUAUCCAUCAAUGUAGGCUUGGUGGGGUUUUUUAAAAGGUGCUAAAGGGGUGAGGCAAGGGGAUCCAUUGUCCCCUUACCUCUUUCUCAUUGUUAUGAAUGCUCUUUCUAAACUUCUUGAUGCUGUAGUUGAGAAUGGGCUCUUCUAUUAUCACCCAAAAACUAAGAAGAUCCAUUUAACCCACUUAUGCUUUGCUGAUGACUUCUUGAUUUUUGCAAAAGGAAGAACUGGUUCUAUUUUGUGGAUUAAGCUCGUGUUGAAACAGUUUUAACUCUUUUUCUGACCUAAAGCUAAACUCUUUCAAAAGUGAGCUUUAUUCUUCAGGAAUGACUGAAAAUGAGUUGCAUAAGGUCAAAUCACUUACAGGGUUUAUAAUUGGCAAGCUCCCUGUACGGUACUUAGGGUGCCUCUUAUGACUCGCCAACUAACUGAAAGGAAUUGUGCACCAUUAUAGGAUAAAGUAAAGGCGCGCACACACUCUUGGGCAGCAAGGUUCUUAUCUUAUACCGGUAGAGCUCAACUUAUACAAGCUGUGUAAUUCAAUAUUCAAAAUUAUUGGGCGAGAUAAUUUUUGCUUCCUAAAGCUAUUCUAAAGAAAAUUAACCAUAUGUGUAAAAGGUUUCUUUGAAAAGGAACUGAGGAAAAUGCUACAGGGCUUGGUUUCAAAGAUUUUAGAAGUUGGAAUCAAGCUAGCAUAAUUGGUCAUGUUUGGGCUAUUCUUAUGGAAUCGGGUUCUUUGUGGAUAACAUGAAUAGAAGCUUAUAUACUCAAAGAGAAGCAUUUGAUGCAAUUGCCUCACUCAAAGCUAUAGUUGGAGUCGUUGGAAGAAGCUGUUAAUGUUAAGGGAAGUAGCUUUGUAGGUGAUUACUCUACCAACUGAUAUUGCUGUUCCGCAAGGAUGUUUUGUGACGAAAAAAGUUUGGAAUGAGAUACAGUCAAAAGCUGUUAAAGUGCACCAUGGAGGAGGCAUGGAUGGCUUUGUAGAACAGGUUACCUACUAAAGAUAGGACCUCAAAUUGGGGGAUAACUAUUGGGAAUUAUCCAUAUUUAUUGAAAAUAAAAGAUAUGGGUAUCAAAUAAUAGAAAGUCAAAGAUAUGGGUAUCAAAUAUUGGAAAGUCAAAGAUAUGGGUAUCAAAUAUUGGAAAGUCAAAGAUAUGGGUAUCGAGAUAUUGGCAUAAUAAAAUCUGAGAUAUUUGCAAUAUAUGGUCCCUAAUUGUAAAGUGACUUUGCAAGUUGAUCCCUGAACCUCAACUAUAAAUAGGCAUAACCAUCUCUCAUUCUGUAUCUCAAACUUGCCAUUCUCUACUUAAGGCAUUGUUUUCUCUCUCUCUCUUUGUAAAUUCUCACUUGUAUUUUGGAGUGAAAUAUAUUUGGUAGUGCCCGAGGACGUAGGCAAAAUUUGCUGAACCUCGUUAAAUUCUUGUGUUCUUUAUUGUAUUAUUCUGCAUGAAUUGUGUGUGUGAUUGUAGUGAUUUAUUGUGCUAUUAAAUUACGAUUGAGGGAUAUUCUGGCUAGGAAAGACCUGGUACUUAAGUGAUCCUUGCGAUCCACCUCUCUUUCCUGGGAAUUGAACUUAGUGUGAUUUUUUAGUACAAUAAUUUUACUCUUUUACACGCUUCCGCACAACAAUUGGUAUCAGAGCUAGAUUCGUACUUGGGGAAUACGAUCGUUCACGGCACUGUUCACGUACUGUAGUUGGGAUUGAGGAGAAAAAAUGGAAAAGUCAUCGUCAAAGACUACUGUGACCAAUGCGAAAUUUGAAGUAGAGAAAUUUGAUGGUACCAAUAAUUUUGGUAUGUGGCAAUGUGAGAUCCUGGAUGUCUUAUGUCAGCAAGAGCUGGAUAUAGCCCUUGAAGAAAAACCUGACAAGAUGGAUGACAAGGAGUGGGCCAAGAUCAAUAGACAGGCAUGUGGAACAAUUCGCCUAUGUUUGGCCAAAGAGCAGAAGUACUCUGUCAUGAGGGAGACAUCAGCGAAGAAGUUGUGGGAUACACUGGAAGAAAAGUUUCUAACAAAAAGUCUUGAAAAUAGGCUUUAUAUGAAAAAGAAACUUUAUCGAUUCACGUAUGCACCCGGUAUGUCGAUGAAUGACCAUGUGAACUCAUUCAAUAAAAUUUUAGCAGACUUGCUAAAUUUGGAUGAGAAAUUUGAAGAUGAAGACAAGGCAUUAUUGUUGUUGAAUUCCCUUCCUGAUGAAUAUGAUCAUCUUACCACCACAUUGCUUCAUGGGAAGGACACGAUCAUAUUUGAUGCAGUCUGUAGUGCGUUGUAUAGAUCUGAGACUCGAAAGAAAGAUAAAAGAGAUCACAGAGAUACAAUCGCAGAAGUCUUAACAGUAAGAGGUCGUUCACACAGCAGCAAAUCUGGUAGAAGGGGAAAGUCCAAAGGGAGACCCGCCAAAAAUGAAUGUGCCUUUUGCCGUGAAAAAGGGCAUUGGAAAAAGAAUUGUCCUAAGCUACAAAAGGGCAAGGCUAUUUCUAAUGCAUGUGUAGCGGAGCAUGAUGAGGAGUCAGACUUUAGCUUGGUUGGCAUGGCAAUGGCAUGUCAAACGGAUGAGUGGAUUUUGGAUUCAGGAUGUACUUACCAUAUGUGUCCUAAUAAGGACUGGUUUUCUAGUCUUAAAGAGCUAGAAGGUGGAAUUGUUCUUAUGGGAAAUGAUAGUGCUUGUAAGACAAUGGGAGUGGGUACAGUCCAAUUGAAGAAUCACGACGGCUCAAUCCAAGUCUUGACAGAUGUUCGCUACGUACCUAGCCUGAAGAAAAAUCUCAUCUCAUUAGGUGCCCUAGAAUCUAAAGGGCUCACAAUCACUUUGAGAGAUGGAUUACUAAAAGUAGUAGCUGGGCAACUGACGGUGAUGAAAGGCACAAGAAGAAAUAACUUGUAUUUUUUAAAUGGAAGUACAGUUAUUGGAUCAACAUCAACAGUUUCUACAAAAGAUGUAGAUUCAGAGGCUACCAGAUUAUGGCAUAUGCGAUUGGGACAUGCUGGUGAAAAAGCUUUGCAGACAUUGGUGAAGCAAGGCUUAUUGAAAGGUGCAAAUUCUUGCAAAAUGGAAUUCUGUGAACAUUGUGUUCUGGGCAAGCAGAAGAGGGUAAAAUUUGGUCCAGCAAUUCACAAUACGAAAGGAAUUCUGGACUACGUUCAUAGUGAUGUGUGGGGACCUACCAAAGUAGCUUCUUUGGGAGGUAUGCACUAUUUUGUUACUUUUUUUGAUGAUUAUUCAAGAAAAGUAUGGGUGUAUCUAAUGAAAAGAAAAAGUGAAGUUUUGGAUGCAUUUCUGAAAUGGAAGAAGAUGGUGGAGACUCAGACUGGUCGAAAGGUCAAACGACUUCGAUCAGAUAAUGGUACUGAGUAUAAAAACGAUCCAUUUCUACAAGUAUGCCAAGAUGAGGGCAUUGUGCGACACUUCACUGUUCGGGAUACACCACAGCAAAAUGGGGUGGCAGAACGAAUGGAUCGAACUAUACUGGAGAAAGUUCGAUGUAUGUUGUCCAAUGCUGAAUUGGGCAAAGAAUUUUGGGCUGAGGCAGUUACAUAUGCGUGCCAUCUAAUUAACCGUUUGCCAUCAGCUGCAAUAAAUGGAAAAACUCCUAUGGAGAUGUGGACUGGUAAAUCUACUAUUGGUUAUGAUUCUUUGCAUGUAUUUGGUUCUACUGCAUAUUAUCAUGUAAAAGAAUCUAAGUUAGACCCAAGAGCAAAGAAAGCAUUAUUCUUGGGUAUAACUGAUGGAGUAAAAGGAUAUCGUCUCUGGUGUCCUGAUACAAGGAAGAUUGUUUUCAGUAGAGAUGUGACUUUUGAUGAAUCAACCAUGUUGAAGUACAAGGAUUCACAAAAGGAUGACAAAACCAGUAGUACUUUGCAGCAGGUGGAGCUUGAAAAGGUUAACGAUGAUCUAGCUAAUAUUGAAGGGACAAAUGAUGAAGAGGUUCCUACCCAAGAAUCUCUACAGCAAAAAGAUUCAAUUGCAUAUAGAAGGCCAAGAAGAGAGAUUCGUAAGCCUGCUCGCUUUGAUGAUAUAGUGGCCUAUGCACUUCCAAUUACAGAUGAUGAUGUUCCUUCUACUUACACAGAAGUAAUAAGUAACCCUGAUGGUGUAAAGUGGAAGCAAGAAAUGAAUGAAGAAAUGCAGUCUCUUCAUAAAAAUAAGACCUGGGAGUUGGUGACACUACCCAAGGGAAAGAAGGCAAUUGGAUGCAAAUGGGUAUAUGCAAAGAAGGAAGGAUUUCCUGAUAAAAAUGAAAUUCGAUACAAGGCUAGAUUAGUAGCAAAGGGUUACGCUCAGAAAGAAGGAAUAGACUACAAUGAAGUGUUUUCUCCAGUUGUGAAGCAUUCUUCUAUUCGGAUUUUGCUAGCCUUGGUUGCGCAAUAUGAUCUUGAACUAGUUCAGCUUGAUGUGAAGACCGCGUUUUUACACGGUAAUUUGGAAGAGGAAAUCUAUAUGACUCAGCCAGAUGGAUUCAAGGUUGCUGGAAAAGAAAAUUAGGUUUGCAAACUGACAAAGUCACUUUAUGGAUUGAAGCAAUCUCCGAGGCAGUGGUACAAGCGAUUUGAUCAGUUCAUGAAAGGGCAAAGGUACACAAGAAGUAAAUUUGAUCAUUGCGUGUAUUUUCAGAAGCUACAAGAAGGAACUUUCAUAUACUUGCUCUUAUAUGUUGAUGAUAUGCUAAUAGCAUCUAAGAGCAAAGUUGAGAUUGAAAGAUUGAAGACUCAACUCAAUCUCGAGUUUGAGAUGAAAGAUCUAGGAGAAGCUAAAAAGAUUCUCGGUAUGGAAAUAUGGAGAGAUAGAGCUCAUGAUAGAGUUAGCUUGUCUCAGAAGCAGUAUUUGAAAAAGGUACUACAGCAGUUUGGCAUGAACGACCAGACAAAACCUGUAAGUACCCCGUUGGCUUCUCAUUUCAAGCUUUCUGCACAACUAUCUCCUUCGACGAAUACGGAACGAGAAUACAUGUUGCAAGUUCCGUAUUCUAAUGCAGUGGGUAGCUUGAUGUAUGCAAUGGUGUGUACAAGACCCGACAUUUCACAGGCAGUUAGUAUAGUGAGCAGGUAUAUGCAUAAUCCUGGAAAAAGACAUUGGCAAGCUGUGAAAUGGAUUCUACGGUAUAUUCAUAAGACCAUGGAUAUUGGAUUACUGUUCAAGCAGGAUACUACACUUGGUAAAGGUGUUGUUGGGUACGUUGAUUCUGAUUAUGCCGGUGAUUUGGACAAACGAAGAUCAACCACUGGUUAUGUGUUUACUCUUGCUGGAGGACCAAUAAGUUGGAAGUCUACACUACAGUCUACAGUUGCGUUGUCAACCACAGAAGCUGAAUACAUGGCUGUAACAGAGGCUGUAAAGGAAGCUAUUUGGUUACAAGGUAUGGUUAAAACCUUGGGAUUGGUCCAGGAGCAUAUUAAUGUGUAUUGUGAUAGUCAAAGUGCUAUUCAUUUAGCAAAGAAUCAAGUCUAUCAUGCACGUACAAAGCAUAUCGAUGUACGUUUCCACUUUGUGCGGGAAAUUAUUGAUGAGGGGAAAAUUCACCUUCAGAAGAUUAAGACUGCAGAUAAUCCCGCAGAUAUGAUGACCAAGGUGGUAACAACAAUCAAGUUCGAACAUUGUUUGAACUUGAUCAAUAUUCUGCAUGUUUAACAGUUGAAGAAGGCACUAUCAAGUGUUGUUGACAAAGGCAGAGAGAAUUGUGUGAAGAUAAGAUUACUUGAAUCAAAUCUUCAAGGUGGAGAUUAUUGGGAAUUAUCCAUAUUUAUUGAAAAUCAAAGAUAUGGGUAUCAAAUAAUAGAAAGUCAAAGAUAUGGGUAUCAAAUAUUGGAAAGUCAAAGAUAUGGGUAUCAAAUAUUGGAAAGUCAAAGAUAUGGGUAUCGAGAUAUUGGCAUAAUAAAAUCUGAGAUAUUUGCAAUAUAUGGUCCCUAAUUGUAAAGUGACUUUGCAAGUUGAUCCCUGAACCUCAACUAUAAAUAGGCAUAACCAUCUCUCAUUCUGUAUCUCAAACUUGCCAUUCUCUACUUAAGGCAUUGUUUUCUCUCUCUCUCUUUGUAAAUUCUCACUUGUAUUUUGGAGUGAAAUAUAUUUGGUAGUGCCCGAGGACGUAGGCAAAAUUUGCUGAACCUCGUUAAAUUCUUGUGUUCUUUAUUGUAUUAUUCUGCAUGAAUUGUGUGUGUGAUUGUAGUGAUUUAUUGUGCUAUUAAAUUACGAUUGAGGGAUAUUCUGGCUAGGAAAGACCUGGUACUUAAGCGAUCCUUGCGAUCCACCUCUCUUUCCUGAGAAUUGAACUUAGUGUGAUUUUUUAGUACAAUAAUUUUACUCUUUUACACGCUUCCGCACAACAAUAACUAUUGACGACAGAUGUAUUUUUUGUAUGAUGCAACAAGAGUCCAGGGAUCAUCUUUAUUGUGAAUGUUCUUUCACCAAACCUAUUUGGCAGAUGGUGCUGCAGCUAUGUCAUGAGCUAAGACAGGCAUGUGCAAAGUUAAAAGGCAAUUCCCUCAUAUCUGUUAUGUUGCGCUUAGCAUGGACAACCUAUAUCUAUUUCAUAUGGGGGGAUAGAAAUUGAAGACUUUUUGGCAGGAAACAACAAGCUGAACAAGGUUUAACGGAUAGGGUUAAACAAAACAAAUCAUUCGUAUGAGACGAAGGGGAGUUAAAAGCAAUAUGAAUAUGAAACAAUCAAUCUGCUGUAUAUGGUUUUGUUUUUCAUAUAAACUUCUUCAUAAUUUUAUUAUUUUAAAUUAUUUAUUGAGAAUGUAAAUCGUAUAUACCAAUAUAAUGUACAUGUAGACAGGGAUGAAGGCAAAAAAUAGUUUUAGGAGGUUAAAAUUAAAUUACAAUAUUUAUUAUAGUAAAAAUACAAUUUCACCAUUAAAAUAGUCUAUACCUUUAUAAUUUUUAAAAUUUCUAAAAAAUUAAAUCAAAUUUUUAUCGUUUUUAAGGCGUUAAAGUACCAUUUUACUUUUACUAAUUUAAAUUUUUAAAAAAUUUAAACACCCUAAUGGAAAAUUUUUUAUUUUAAGAGACCGAGACCCCUGCCAGCCCCCUGGCUACAUGUAACACCCCUUACCCGUAUUCGUCUCCGGAAUAGGGUAGGAGGCAUUACCGGAGUUUACCGAAUUAAUUUUCCAUUAAUACGAGUUAAAUACUAUUCAUUUACUAAAACAUGUCAUGGCGUCCUUUAGAUGGGCCUCUAGAACCUAAAACAUAUUUCGAGACCAAACCAGAAUUAAAUCGAAACCAUAAGGAAUUUUUCGCAAAAUCCUAAAAUUUUUUUUUUCUGCUCAAUAUAAUCCCUUUAUAAAUAUCUAACCUUCCUUGCAAAUUUUAAAACCGAGACCAAUCCAACCAACCAAUUCAUUUCAAUCAAUUUGAUACCAAAUUAUACUACUAUUAUAAUUAUACUAUUUAACAUAUUCAUCAUUCUUUACUUUAAUGUAUAUUUCUUGAACAAGUCUUAGUAUUUAUAUAAUCAUCAAACCUUAUACAUGCCAUAUAAAUCAAAAAGAAAUUUACAAAAGUUACAGGAGAUAAUCUGAAUAGUGUGAUCCUCUGUGUUGAUCCGAUCCUCCGUAUACUUCCACGUCAAUCUACAAGAGACAUUGAUUACACUCAUGUAAGCUUAUAGAAGCUUAGUAAGUUCAUAGGCAUAAAACAUAAAUCUUACCAAACAUUUAUACACUUAUACAAUAUACACAACUAUUAAGUUCACUUGUCAACCACAGCCAUUGGUGAGUUCCCUUGUAUAAACUUACUACCACUUAUCCAUUUCCUUUAAUUCUUUUGGGCCCAUUUGUCACAUAUCAUUCUUUAACCAAAUUAGAGAAUGGUUACGGAAAAUUGAGUACUUCACUUUCACUUUGCCAUAGUAUAACUAUGGUCUUGCGUAUGAUCACUUAUCACCUUUUGAAGUCAUUGUCCUGCCACGGUCUUACACUGAUCACAUUUAUCACUUGUCACUGAUCAGAUAAGUGUAGUUAAAACUACCACUUAUUACUUAUCACUUGUCACUGAUCAGAUAAGUGUAGCUAAAGCUACCACUUAUCACUUGUCGCUUGUCACUUAUCGUUGAUCAGAUAAGUGUAGCUAAGGCUACCACAUUGAUCAGAAGUACUCAAAUCUGAUAUUCCGCUCAAUUUAAUCAUUUAUUCGAUUUUCGUGUUGUUAUUUUAUUCUCUAUGUAUCAAUAAAUAUAUUUCAUCAUACAUAUUACAUUAUAUAAUUCAUAAAAUUAACAUAUAAUCAUUAAACUUCAACCAUAUGAACUUACCUGGGUCGAUUUGCAAAAUUUGUGAAAGUUCAGGGACUAAUCAGCUAUUUUUUCUUUUCCUCGAAUUGCUUCGGAUUCUCGAUCUAUCAUUGUAAAAUCAUUCACUUAUCAGUAAUGACUUCAUCUUCAACCCGCUUAUAGGUAAUAUUAUCUAUAAUUUCAUUAUUUACUUAUGUAUAUUCCAAUGCUGUCCAUCAGUGUCAUAGUCACUAAAUUAUUUUUAUCUUUAGCUACCGAACUCCAAAUUAGGAUCCGCUAAUUUUCCCUGAAACUAGACUCAUAUAUCUUCUUAUCAUAAAAUUUUUAGAAUUUUUUGGUUUAGCCAAUAUGUACAGUUUAUUCUUUAAAGUCACCCCUGUUCUGCUGUCUGACAAUUCCGACCCUUCUUCACUAAAAAUUAAUUAUCUCUUCGUACAGAAUUUGGAUGAUGUCCAUGUUUGUUUCUAUUGAAAAUAGACUUAUUAAGGAUUUUAAAAAUAUAAAUUUAAUCCCCUAAUUAUUUUUCUCUAAUUUGUGAUGAUUCUCCAAAGUCAGAACAGGGGAACCCGAAAUCAUUCUGACAUUGUCUCACAAAAUCUAUUAUAUCUCAUGAUCUAUAAUUCCGUUGCUUACAUCGUUUCUUCUAUGAGAAACUAGACUAAAUAAGCUUUAAUUUCAUUUUUUUCAUAUUCUAAUUCGAUUUUUACAAUUUAUGGUGAUUUUUCAAAGUUAGACUACUGCUGCUGUCCAAAACUGUUUUAGUGCAAAUGUUGAUUUUGAUUUUUGCCCCAAAUUUCACAGUUCAUACAAUUCAGUCCUUGCUCAAUUAAUCCCUCAAUGAAGCUAAUUUUUCCCAAUUAAUGCUUUACCUAGAAAUCAUAAGUUAUUUCACAAUUAUUUAAAUUCAUAAUUUCCACAUAAAACCCUAACUUCAAACUCUUUCACCAUCAGGUCCCAAACAUUCACUUUCUAUUCAAUUCUUUCAAUAAAAUCAGCAUAUAAACAAUUUAAAACUCUAAUUCCAUGCUAAAUCAUCAUAUACUUCCAACACAUAUUCAAACAACUUCCAAUUUCUUUCAUAGAAUCAAAAACUAAUGAAUUCAACAAGUGGACCUAGUUGUAAAAGUCAUAAAAGCACAAAAAUUUCAAGAAAUAAUCAAGAAUUGAACUUACUUGCAGUAAAAAUAUGAAAAACCAGCUUAAGAAAACCCUUCUAUGGUGUUUUUUCUGAUGAGAAUGCAGAAAAAUAAUGAGAAUUCUAGAUAAUUCCACUUUAGUCCUAGUUUAUUAAGUAAAUUUUGCAAUAUUCCAAUUUUACCCUUAAUUCAUCAAUUUUCCUGCUGAUUUCAUGCACCUUGCCGUCCAGCCCAAAUAGACCUUGGGUCUAUUUGCCUUUUAAACCCUCUUUAUUUUAUCAUUUAAGCUAUUUAAUCAUUUCCCAUAAUUUUACAUUUGUUACAAUUUAAUCCUUUUUAUUCAAUUAACUAUCGAAACUUUUAAAUUUCUUAACGAAACUUUAAUACUAACUUAUUAACACUCCAUAAAUAUUCAUAAAAAUAUUUAUUGCUCGUUUUAAAAUUUUCAAACUAUCGAUAUCUCAUUUUCGAUUCUAAUUUUUAAAAUUUUUAUUUCUAGUACACUAUUCGCUAUUUCAAAAAUUUUCCUAACUUCACACUUAACUUAUAUUCACUAAAUUAUUAAUAUUUUCUACUCAUUUGUCGGAUUUAGUGAUCUCGAAUCACUGUUCCGACACCACUGAAAAUUUAGGCUAUUACAAUUCUCCCCCUCUUAAGAAAUUUCGUCCUUGAAAUUUGUUACCUGAAAAUAGGUUCGGAUAUUGUGAUAUCAUUGAUUCCUCUAUUUCCCAGGUUUCCUCCUCCACACCAUGUCGAUGCCACAACACUUUUACUAACGGUACUCGUUUGUUCCUUAACUCUUUAAUUUCUCAAGCUAGAAUUUUCACCGAUUCUUCUGAAUAAGUCAUGUCGAGUUGGAGCUCUAUUUCUGUAUAAGGGAUUACAUGUGAUGGAUCUGAUCUGUACCGUCUCAACAUAGACACAUGAAACACGUUAUGAAUCUUUUCAAGCUCCGGGGGCAAAGCCAAUCUAUAAGCUAUCGGACCGAUUCUUUCAAUGAUUUCAUACGGCCCGAUAAAUCGUGGGCUGAGUUUUCCCUUUCUACCGAACCGCAAAACUUUCUUCCACGGUGACACUUUCAAGAUACAUGAUCACCCACAUUAAACUCUAUAUCUCUUCUCUUUAAAUUUGCAUAUGAUUUUUGCCGAUCGGAGGCAGCUUUUAAACAAUCUCGAAGAAUACGAACUUUUUCUUUGGUUUCCCGAAUCAAGUCCACUCCCAUUAGUUUCCGUUCACUUAAUUCAGACCAAUAUAAUGGAGUUCUACACUUUCUUCCAUACAGAGCUUCAAAUGGUGCCAUUUUAAUACUAGUUUGAUAACUAUUAUUAUAAGCAAAUUCGACUAAAGGUAAAUACCUUUCCCAGCUGCCGCCAAACUCAAGUACACAACAACUUAACAUAUCUUCUAAAAUCUGAAUCACUCGCUCUGACUGCCCAUCUGUCUGAGGAUGAAAAGCUGUGCUGAAAUUUAAUUUAGUGCCCAAAGCCUCCUGUAAUUUACUCUAAAAUCUCGAAGUAAAUCUCGGAUCUCGAUUCGAAAUAAUAGAUAUUGGAACUCCAUGUAAUCUCACAAUCUCAGAAAUAUACAAUUCCGCUAAUUUCUCCAAUGAAAAAUUUGAUCUGACUGGAAUAAAAUGUGCCGAUUUUGUCAAUCUAUCAACGAUAACCCAGAUUGAAUCUUUCUUUUUUCGGAGUCACAGACAAUCCUGAUACAAAAUCCAUCGUAAUGUGUUCCCACUUCCAUUCAGGAAUCAUAAUAGGUUGUAAUAAACCCGUUGGUACUUGAUGCUCUGCUUUUACCUGCUGACAGAUUAAACAUUUUGCAACAAAUUCACAAAUCUCUCGCUUCAUACCAGGCCACCAGUACAUUCUUUUUAAAUCGCAAUACAUUUUUGUACUACCCGGAUGAAUAGAAUACUUACUAUUAUGAGCUUCAGCAAGAAUAUCAUUUUUCAAUUCUGGAUUAUUCGGAACACAAAUUCUAUUACGAUAACGCAACAUACCACCAUCAUCAACGCUAUAUUCUGAACUCAAAUUAUCCUAAACCGUUUGUCGUUUCAGCACUAGUUUCAGAUCAUCACUCUGUAAUUCACAGAUCCGUUGAAGGAAUGUAGAUUUUUCUUUCAAUUCUGCUAAUACUGAGCCAUCUUCAUUAACAGACAAAUGAACAUUCAUUGCUCGAAGUGCAAACAAUGAUGAUUUUCGACUAAGUGCAUCAGCGACCACAUUAACUUUCCCCGGGUGAUAAUCAAUAACAAGAUUAUAAUCUUUCAAUAGUUCGCGCCACCGUCUCUGUCUCAAGUUCAGCUCUUUCUGUGUCAUCAAAUAUUUCAGACUUUUGUGAUCGGUAUACACAUAACAUUUUUCCCCAUAUAAAUAAUGUCUUCAAAUUUUUAAAGCAAACACAAUUGCGGCCAACUCCAAAUCAUGGGUAGGUAAUUUUUCUUGUGCGGUUUUAAUUGUCGAGAAGCAUAUGCCACUACUUUCCCUGAUUGCAUUAAAACACAACCCAAACCAUUUAAAGAUGCAUCACUAUACACAACAUAUGGUAUACCUGAUUCUGAUUGAGUUAACACUGGAGCUUCUGUCAACAUAUUCUUCAACUGGUCAAAACUUUGUUGGCACUCUUCAGACCAUACAAAUUCAACAUUCUUCUGAAGUAGCCGAGUUAUCGGCAAUGCAAUCAUUGAAAAAUUUUUAACAAAUCGGCGGUAGUAUUCCGCUAAUCCUAGGAAACUUCGCACUUCUGUUACAUUCUUCGGAGUUUUCCAAUUCACCACUGCUGACACUUUACUUGGAUCUUCUCGAAUUCCUUCAGCUAAAACAAUAUGACCUAGAAAUCCAACCUCAUGUAGCCAAAAUUCACACUUGCUGAACUUUACAUACAACUGCUUCUCUCUCAAAGUCUGUAACACACUUCUCAAGUGUUGUGCAUGAUUAGGCUCGGUCUUCGAAUAGAUCAGUAUAUCAUCAAUAAAUACAACCACGAAUCUAUCCAAAUAAGGUUGAAAAAUUCGAUUCAUCGAGUCCAUAAAUGCAGCAGGAGCAUUAGUUAAACCAAAUGGCAUUACCAGAAACUCAUAAUGACCAUAUCGAGUUUUAAAAGUAGUUUUUGGCACGUCACAUUCUUUAACUUUCAGCUGAUAAUAUUCAGAUCGAAGAUCUAUUUUUGAAAACACAGCAGCACCUUUCAAUUGAUCGAACAAAUCAUCAAUGCGGGGCAAAGGAUAUUUGUUCUUGAUUGUAACCUUAUUUAAUUGUCUGUAAUCUAUACACAAUCUCAACGAACCAUCUUUCUUUUUCAGAAACAAAACAGGUGCACCCCAAGGAGAUGUACUCUGUCUAAUAAACCCCUUAUCUAACAAUUCUUACAACUGAGUCUUUAACUCUUUUAAUCCAGUCGGUGCCAUUUCGUAUGGUGUUACGGAUAUUGGAGCUGUUCCAGGGAUCACAUCAAUCACAAACUCAACUUCACAAUCUGGUGGUAAACCUGGCAAUUCCUCAGGAAACACAUCAGCAAAUUCAUUAACAACUGGCAACUGUUUCAACUUUGAUUCAGAAUCCCGAGUAUAAAAAAUAUAAGCUAAAUAUGCUUCAUUACCCUUCCGCAUUAGCUUCUGAGCUGAAAAGGCUGAAAUAAUUCGGACAUUAUCUUUCAUAUUUCCAAACUCAGCCGAAAUUAUUUCUCCUGUCUGAUUUUUCAAAUCAAUCCGUUUCUCUCGACAGUUUACUACAGCGUCAUGUUUUGUUAACCAAUCCAUCCCCAAAAUAAUAUCAAAUUCCCGAAAGGGUAACAACAUCAAAUCAGCAGGGAAUUCACAACCUUUCACUUUCAGUGGACAAUUACGACAUAUUAAAUUAACCAUCACACUUUGACCUAAUGGAUUAGUGACUUGUAUAUCAUAAUUAGUGGACUCAACAGAUAAUUUCUUUUUAGAUGCUAGCAUAUUGCAAAUAUAUGAAUGAGUAGACCCAGGGUCUAUUAAUGCAUAAACAGUAACAUCAUAAAGAUAGAAAAUACCAGCAAUUACAUCAGGAGCCGUAGCCUCUUCCCUUGCUCGAAUGGCAUAGGUACGUGCUGAUGCUCUAUUCUCUGAUUGACUAACUGGUUCUCUCAUACCCGAACGGGUAGCCCCUGUAGCACUACUCUGGCCCGAACGUCUACUUAUUUGAGGAGUGGUUCUCUGUAUCUUUUUCUGAUCCACUUCAUCUUUUUGCAGCUGGGGACAAUCUCGAAUAAGAUGAUCAAUAGCCCCACAUUUAUAACAAGCCCCCAUCUUAGUCCUGCAUUCACCGAAAUGAUGUCUUCCACAAUAUUGACACUUAGGCCGGGGAGUAUUCUGAACACUACUCACACUUGUUGCAGGUCUAUCAAAUACCCUGAAAUCAGAUUGUCUUGAUCUACCUCUACCCAAUCUUCCCUGCAUGGAUGUAGUUCGACUAAUUUCUUCUCUAGAUUUUUUCACCGGCAAAUCUGAAAAUGACUUAGAAGCACCUCUUUUAAAUGACUCUUUAUUUUUUUGAUCUCGUUGCAUUUUUCUGUUAUAUACUUCUUCGAGCUUUUGAGCACGGUCUGAUAGAACAACGAACUCCCGUAUUUCAUUACCCCCAAUCAUCAUUCUAAUCUCAUCAUUUAAUCCUUCUUCAAAUCUGAUACACAUUUCUUCUCAGUAGGUACAAUGUCUCGAGCAUAUUUGCUGAGGUAGACAAAUUCUCUUUCGUAUUCAGCCACUGACUUAUUUCCCUGCCGUAGAUCAAGAAAUUCUCUCUUUUUCUUGUCUAGAUAUCUUUUUCCCAUAUAUUUCUUUUUAAACUCGUUCUGGAAAAAUUCCCAAGUAAGUUUCUCUGCAGGUACUACAGCUUCCACAGUUUCCCACCAGUUAUAUGCUUCUUCUUUGAACAAUGAGACAGCACAUCGUAGAUAAUCCUCCGGAGAACAAGCCAUCUGUUUAAAAAUUCUUACCAAACUCUGUAGCCAAUACUCAGCUUUUACAGGGUCAUCAUCUGAUCUCCCUCGAAAUUCAUUAGCUCCAAACUUCCUAAGCUUUUCAAUCGGAGAACGUUUACUAGUUUCAAUUAUUGAAGGAGGUGGAGGAGCAACCGGAUGUACCACAGGUGGUGCAGUAGGGGGAGGAGGUGGUUGAGCCUGACUUCUUUCUUGUAUCAUCUCCUUAUACCUCUGAUUCAUAACUCCAUAAAUCAUAUUUUUAAGUCCUCGCUCUAACAUCAUAGAAAUUGGAAUAUCACUACUUGUUCCUUGUUUAGAAGUCUGCACUCUACUGUUAGCUUCCUCCUGUUCAGUGCGUUCAGGUCUAUCUGACAUCUUUAUAAUCGAAGAAUAUCUAUAAAAAUGACAAAGAUUAGAUCGGA
rnacentral:lncRNA from 1 species